rnacentral:lncRNA from 1 species
AACACAAAAUCCUACUGAUAACUUCCUUUCGACCAAGAAAAUAAUUGAAGCAAAGGCUUUCAGUUUCAGUGUGAUGGUGAGAAUCAAGCCUUUCAACUUUAAAAAUCUUAGUUUCAUGGCUAGCUACUUUUUAUGAAUGUACAUUAAAGGUUUUCUUGAUAUCCCCUUCUUUCUUCUCUGCAGGCAUUGCUAGUUAUUGCUUUUUUGAUUUUGAACUUUGGUUUUGGGAUUGAUAAUUGCCAAUCCCUUAAUGUCAUCAAUUUUGGGGCUGUUGGAGAUGGAAGAACAGAUGAUUCACCGGUAAAUUUUUCAUCUUUUUUUAGCUUAAAUUAAGCUCCAUGUACGUACAAUAUUGUACAUGCAUGUUUUUUUUUUGUAUACUGCAUAUAGUAUAUUCCUAUUUAAUUUAUUUUCCUUUUGCUUUCUCUCUCUCUCUCUCUCUCUCUCUCUAUAUAUAUAUAUAUAUAUAUAUAUGAUUUUAUCUGAUCUUACUAAUAGUUAUGUGUUGAAUUUGAAUGUGUAGGCUUUUUCAAAAGCUUGGACAGCUCUGUGUGCAGCAACUAAUAAUCCAACCUUGGAAAUCCCUUCUGCCAAAGCUUUUUUGCUGAGUACUAAAAUUGAUUUUUCCGGUCCUUGCAAGUCAAAAUCCAUUCAUAUUAAGGCAAAUAGCACAGUUACUUAGUUCAUUUUCAUGUCUUUUUUUUUUCAACUUUUGCAUAUACUAUAUAAACAUGAUUUGAACUUGUGAAUAAAUUGUUACUUUUAUAUCAAUUCAGGUUCUAUGAAAAAAAAAUGGAAAAGAUUAAAUCGUUUGUUAUCCUUGUCCACUAGAAUAUAUUAAAACCACGUUAUAUUAUAGAAACUUCAACCAAUAUUGGCUUCUCUUGUUUUGUAUAAUUUAUUUAUUUAUUUUAUAUAAAUUUGUAACCAAAAGAAUAAUAUGCUUGGCAAGAGGAAAGGGUUAACUAAGAUUUGCAUUCUAUCUCUCUCUCUCUCUCUAUAUAUAUAUAUAUAUAUAAAUAUAAAUGUUAAUUAGGUUUCAUAUAUGUGAUCUUUUGCUUAUUUAUAAAUUUACUUAUCAAUUGUUCAAAAAGAAAAAGAAAAGAACUAAGCUUAAUACACGAAUAAAAUUAGUAAUUGGGUAUAAUGUUAAAUUAUUGAAACACAUUUAUGAUUAAUUGGUGAGUAAAUUUUCAACCUUUUUUACCAAAUUUUCAUACAAAAAAAAUGUCCUACUGUAUAUAUAUUUUCAGGUCCUUGGAAACAUUAUUGCACCAAAAACCAAUACGUGGACAAAAUGUGAUAAUGGUUGCUGGCUGUGCUUCUCACACGUAGCUGGUCUUACUGUUGAUGGAACUGGUCAAAUGGAUGGCAACGGUGCUGCUUGGUGGAAUAAAGUACAAUGCAUACUUAAUUUUAUUGUCCAUUAAUUAAUUAUAAACUAAUUAAAUAAUUCUUCUAAUUCAAUUUAUUUUUCAGACGCCAAAAGAGUGUGCACCAGCGGUAAGUUUGUCUUGCAUAUCAUAAAAUUGAGAUUAAUUAAUUUCAUAAAUUAUCUUGGCCAAUUAAUUUUGUUUAAGAAAUUAAUUAUUGAUGCAGGUUAUUUCUUUCGACAAUUGCAAUAAUCUUAAUUUUCAUGGAAUCACUUCUUUAAAUAGUCCUGGAAAUCACGUUAGCGUGAAUAGAUGCAAAGAAGUGGAUAUAUCACAUAUUCAACUAAUUGCACCCAAAGAUAGUCCCAACACUGAUGGGAUUGACAUCUCCUCAUCCACUGCUCUGCGAAUUUCAGACUGUUUCUUUGGAACCGGUAUAUAUAUAGACUUAUGUAUUUUUAUAUAAUGUUGUUUUCACAUUGUCAGUAUCUCUUUUUUUAAAAAUUAUUAUUUUAUUUAUAAUAUAGGAGAUGAUUGUAUAGCUAUCAAUGGCGGUUCCUCUCAUAUCAACAUCACUCGUCUUACAUGUGGACCAGGCCAUGGAAUUAGGUAAUUUUUUAUUAAUUAAUUUAGCAUAUAAAUAUAUAUAUAUGAAUUUUUUCUAAAAUAAUUUAUCAACUUCUGCUUGUGAUUGUAGUGUGGGAAGUCUUGGAAAAAAUGGGAAAAACGAAACAGUGCAAUGGGUGCAAGUGGAGAAUUCUAUCUUCAAUGGAACUCAAAAUGGAGCUAGAAUCAAGACAUGGACGGUAGUUAUUUUUAUUAUCAUUCUUAAAAGAUUGAUCAAGAAAACUUCUUAAUUUCUUCUCAAUAACAUUAAAUUUUUUUUAGUUUUUUUGUUCUGUAUAUAGGAUGGUGCUGGAUUUGCAAGGAAUAUUUCCUUUGUUGGCGUUCAACUCAUAAACGCUGAAAACCCUAUCAUUAUUGACCAACACUAUUGUCCUCACCAAACAUGUCAACCUGAAGGGGUAAACAUACACAAUUCGUGUUGGAAUUUUUUUAUGAAUAAAAUUUUACUAAUUAAUUAAUUAUAAUGUAUACAUGCAGAAAACAGCAGUAAAGAUAAGCAAUGUGAGAUUUAGUGGAUUCGAAGGGACAUCCGCUACUGAGGUUGCUAUCAAACUGGAUUGCAGUGGUAUAGUUCCUUGCACUGGUAUCACUCUGAACAACAAUAUGAUAACUUCAUCAACUCCUGGAAAGAAGGUUAAAGCUGAAUGCAAUAAUGCUCAUGUCUCUUCCACCUUAACAACUCCCUCAGUCACUUGCUUAAUACCUAAACACAUCAUUUAUUACUCCAAAGCUUAAUGAAAGUACGUACGAGCAGUGAUCUAGAAUGUAUAGGUAGACACUUAAUUUGAUUCAGAUUCGGAUCAAUUAGAUCGAAUUUAAAUGAAUAGGUCCAUUUUAUAUUUUUAUUUUAUUUUAUAUUUUAUAUUUAUUAUUAUUAUUUUUAUAUAUAUAUUUUUUAUUUUUAUCUUAUGUAUUUAUUAUUUAUUUAUUUAUUAUUAUUAUUUAUUUAUAUAUAUUUAUUUCAUUUUUUUGUUAUUUAUCUGUUAAUGUAUAUAUUUAUUAUUUAUUAUUUAUCUAUUAUUAUAUAUAUUUAUAUUUAUCUGAUUAUAUUAUAAUUUAUCUAUUAUUUAUUUUUAGUUAUCUGUUAAUAUUAUCAUUUAUCUGAUUAUUUUUUUAAUUAUCUAUUAGCAUUUUUUUGGUUGAAAUUUGAGGAAUCCUACCGUAAAUGGGGUUCAAUCAGAGUCCAUAUUAGAUUCAAUGAUUGAAUCCCAAUCCAAAGAGGAUUUGGGAUUGAUCAGAAACUCUUCUGAUCAAUCCCUAUAAAAAGACCCACGGAUCAAAGGAAGAACAGGGAGAAAAAAAAGAGAUACUGGCUGAUAGAGAAAAAGGAACACACAGAGAAGAUUUGAAAGUUGAAAUAGGGUUUAGAGGCGUUAUAAUAGCUCUAGGAAUCGGUGAAAAAUUUUUGAAAAAUUUUUUACGAAUUUUUUUUAGAAAUUUUUGAAAAAUUUUUAAAUUUCGGUUGAAUUUUUCAACGAAGAUUGAAUUUUUCGGUGACUUUUCUGGCCAAGUUUGAAUUUUUCGAUCAACUUCCCAAUUUUCGGCAACCAUUUCCAAAAAUCGAUCAGUUUUUCGGUGAACUUUCGGUGAAAAACUCAGAUUUCGAUGAAAAUUUUUAGAAUUCGAUGGGCAUUCAACCGGAGUUCUUCGAAUUUUUAAAGAGAAGGGAAAGAAGAAGAAGGAAGAGAGAGAGAUAGGGAAAGAGGAUUCUGCUGAAAAACAGAAGAAUUCGCCUUAUAUAUCCUCUUCAAAAUGACGUCGUUUCUACGUUAAGUAACCCAGAAGAUCCGCGCGUUUUGUCAAGAUCUGACCCGAUCCGAGCGUCGACCUGCGUUUAACCUGAGUGCGAGUCGUUUUUCGAGUCGAGCCGAGCCACGUCUCCGAGCCAUUUUUCUUCCUCAAGUCGAGCCGAGCCGAGCCGUUGUCGAAUCGUUUUCAGGUUUUUUUUUCAUUUUUUUAUAUUUAUUUAUUUAUUAUUAUUAUUUAUUGAUUAUAUUAUAUUUGUUUAAUACUUUUAUUUUAUUUUCCUUUAUUUUUAUUUUUAUUUUCAUUUUCAUUUUUUCUUUAUUUUAUUAUUUUAUUUUCUUUAAAUAAAAUUCAAAAAAAAUAUUUUUUAGGAAAAGUUAAAAGUAUCAAUUUUCCUUGAAAAUAAACGUUCCAAAAAUAUUUUUGAGAAAAAGUUGAAAGUAUCAAUUUUUCUUAAAAAUAAAUUUUCAAAAAAGAUUUUUUUCAGGAAAAGUUGAAAGUAUCAAUUUUUCUUAAAAAUAAAUUUUCAAAAAAAGGUUUUGAGAAAAAGUUGAAAGUAUCAAUUUUUCUCGAAAUUAAAGUUUCUAAAAAAUAUUUUGGAAAAAAGUUGAAAGUAUCAAUUUUUCCUACACAAAAGCAAUCAUUUUUUUUCUUCCUUUUUAUUUUCUUAAAUUUUUUUAAUGUUAAAUAAUCCGACGACGGAACCUCUGUAAGUGAAAUAGUAGUUUUCUUGCAUACUCUUGAGGUGAUGAGAUUUUUUCAAUUUUAUGCUAAAAGUAUUAAAGUCAAUUGAGAAUAAUUUUUAAUAAUUAAUUACUUGAUAAAUUUUUAAGGCUUAUUGGAUAACACAAAAUUAAGCUGGUACCAUUUUUUGAUGGGCAUUGUGAGGGUGCUAUAACCUUCCUCACACGUAACCGAACUCUAGAACCCUGUUCUGGUUAGUAGACCCGAACCUAUUCUUUUAGAGACCCUUAAACUUAGGUGUUCCCUGAAAAGAUAGAUUCCUUAGGUGGCCAAUCACACCUAGAUAAAAAAGAUUAGUGGUGACUCCUUCAAGCCAAUGUCUAAUGAUAGAUUUCCGAAUCUAGACGUUAUGACAGCUUGGUGACUCUGCUGGGGUAGUCCGAGAGUCAAGCCAGCAAAUAAAUUUGUAUUAUCCAAAAACCUAAUAAAAUUGAAUCUUUUGUAUAGAUUUUUUUAUUCGUUCAUGUUUAUUUACUUUAUUAAUCAUGUCAUUCAUAUGCAUGUGCAUAACAUGAGCUCUAUACCCGAGCUCCGUCUCUCUAGGAGGAAGUAAAGUACCUAUUGCUUUCAUGAGGUUUAAUACCUCCGUAGUGGCUAGCGAAAUACUCCCACUCAAAUUGAACAUUUUUCGCUUGUAGCCUGUAAUGGGUGAGGAUUGGGGUACCUUACUAGUUUAUGAUGGACAAUGAUGUAAGGAGCAAUUUGGGAACCUUUAGACUUUGACCUUAAACCACAUAUAGUGAACCUUAAGAGUGUCUAACCUAUAGAUAGAGCUAUCGCUCUUCCCUUUUAGAAUUGACCAAAAGUAUAGGGUUCAUCCUCUUAUUCUGUGUGAUGUUUUAAUUUACUUAUUUAUUUAUUCUUUCUUUUUUCUAGGCAUACUAACCUUUUUCUCAUUCUUUUGCAUUGGUUUAUACACAUAUCAUAAAGUUGCAUAAAGAACAUUUGCUUGAAAGACAGUCUUCAACAAAACUUUUCAUGGACUCCACUGAACGACUAGUUUGUUCUUCAUCCGUAUUAGCACCUUGUGAGACACCCAACGUAGUCAAAGCCUAAUAAAAAAAGAUUCAACUGAAGAUAAGAGAUUAUUUACCAAUCGGAUAUGAUUCUAUUUUGUCUCAAGAAACAUCUAUCCUCUUCAAACAGAACAAUCUAGAAGAUUUGGUUGAUAUCUGAAAGAAGAUGAGUCUGUCAAGACAAGAGCAGUUUUGCCAGAGACACGAUCAUAUAGCACACCUUCUAGCAGUAGUUAUUGAUGAUCAACUAAUCAGAGCUGCAGCAUAAUUUUGGGAUCCUGUAUAUAAGUGUUUUAUCUUUAAUGAAGCUGAUAUGACUCUCACCAUCGAAGAAUAUUCAAUUUUAUUGAGUUUGCACCUCGAGGCUCCUGAUAAGAUAUAUGUCAAAAAACACAAGUCAAGAUUUCGUAAGGGUCUGGCUCAACUCAUGGGGAUAGACAAGGAAAUUAUGGAUUCUCAUACAAAGAAGAAACAAGAAUAGGUUUGCCUACCUUGGAAGUUCUUUCAUGAGUUUCUAGUGCAACAUGCCAAUGAAGAACGAGAGUUAGAUAUAUUUACCUUAGCCAUCUACGGAAUGGUGAUCUUCUCAAAGGUUUUGGUUAUAUUGAGAUAACGAUGGUUGACUUCUUCGAGAGUGUGAUCAAUGGCUGUAAUCUUUCAACGGUAAUAUUAGCAGAGACUAUAAAAUCUUUGAGUUAUUGUUCUCGAAAUGGAGGGUGCUUUAUAGGUUGUAUACAAUUAUUGUACUUAUGGAUAAAAAACCAUUUUAAAUAGGGAAAUGGUGCAUUCUCAAAUCUUUAUAUCUGUAAUCGAGCUCCGAUCAAAAAAUUCUGUGAAAGUGGGUGGUCAGAAUGAAAGUUUAAAAAAGAAUGGAUAACUUUUCUACAAAAGUUAACCAGUACCGAUGUAAGAUGGUUAGCCCCAUGGAUGAAUCAUGAACCUAUGUUAUACCAAUGUGGGGAUAAUAUAGUGGUCCCACUUUUGGGUUUUAUGGGGAGUGACAAAUUAUGCAUCACUCUUAGUGAAAAGGUAGUUUGGGGCAGAACAAUUCAUUCCUAUGACUUAUGGGGUUCAUCAGUUAGAUUUUUCUUACAGUGAGCCUAAAAUAUUUCAGAGGAUGAAUGAGAUAAUUAAAGCAUGGAAAAAUCCUUGAAGAGUGAGUUCUGGACCAUUUAUUGAUAAAGUCACUCCAGGGUACUUGGUUUGGAGAGCAAAACGAAGAUAAGAAAUGGUAUUCACUUAUGAAAGCUUUCAACCGCCAAAAGAAGAAAAACUUAAAGAGACACCAUCAGAAUUAGAGCUUGCAACAAAAGAAUUUGAGUCUGAAAAGGGUAAGUUAAAGCAAAAAAUCCAGAAGCUUCAAGAAAAAAGCACCCAAUGAAAAGAUAAAGCUGAAAGUCAUGAAGCUAAAGUUUGCAAGAUUACUAAAGAACGUGAUAUAGCUGUUGAAGACCUAGCAGAGUUACACCAAGAGCAUAAAAGGUUAUGUGUGAGAGAAAGGACCAAAGAGAUAACUAUUGUUGAGCUGACUGAAGAAAAUAGAAGAUUGAAGCAAGAGUAUGCUGAAUUGGAAGAAGAAAGUACCUAAGUACAGACAAAGAAUAACAUACUAAACAAUUAUUUGAGUAGGCUAAGGUAAAAGUUGAAAGAACAAGAAGACCACAUUGCUGUAUUGGUUAAGGAGCAUAGAGAAUUAUCGUACAAAGUCUAGUGUGGUAAAAGAGAGAACUUGGAAAGACAAAAAUACAUUGAGCACCUAACCCAAAUCUAUAAAGGGAUAUGCAAGGUAAGAGAGAUGGUGGAAAAGGCAAAGGCAUUGAAACAAAUGGUGACCCCAGUAGGAGAACAUGGACAGCGUCUGUUGAACUUCAUUGAGAAAGCCAAGGCCUAGUAUGAACAGAUCAAACAAUUUUAUGGUUAUAGUUUUAGGAUGAUAAACUCAAUGUAAAUAAAAGUUUUUUGGAAUAAAUGAAAUCUUUAGGUUAAAUACUGUUUUUAAGGCAAAUGUUCUUUGCAUACAUGUAUUUUUCAUUCAUUGCAUUCUUAUUCAUUACAUUUAACAAAAUAACCAUGUGAUAAUCAUGCAAAUUUACUAAUUCUAAGAUAUGGUACUCAAGGUUCAAGGAUAGCUCCAUCUAACGAGAACCCUGUCCAUCGAUACAACACAAGAUCCAAGGCCAGACAAAAGAGCAAAAAAAUUCUCACAGAUUUGAAAAGCUAGAAAAAGUACAGGAAAAGAUUGAAAAUGAGUUGAACAAGAUUUUGGAUGCUAUCAAUAAGCUGAAUAAGGGAAAAAAAGUUGAAAAAAAUACAAGCCAACAAGUUUCCUCAUUACAAGAAGUGGCUGACCCUUUGUACCCUCUAGGUUUUUAUCCACCUCAAACUCAGUCUGUACAAGAGGUUCUACUGUAACAUUUCGCAUAUCCUAUAUAUCCUGGAAUACCAUCAGCUUCCAACCUAGGGUAUUAUCAUGCUAUGUAAAUCUUGUCUUUAUUGAAAAGAUAGUAGAACUGAUUCCUAAUCUAGAUGAUUUGAAAGAGAAGGAAAAAGAAAAGAUAAGAGUGAAAACUCAAGAAAGCUCUAAAAUUAGUAUGCUAGAACAAAGGCUGCGGGUUGUAGAAGGAAUUGGUUUCUAUGGUUCAGUUGAUGCUGCUGGGUUUUGCUUAGUCCCUGAUGUGGUCAUUCUUUCUAAGUUCAAAGUACUAAAAUUUGAAAACUAUGAUAGUACCAAGUGCCUAAAAACUCAUAUCACCAUAUAUUGUCGGAAGAUGGCAGCUCAUGCUUAUGAUGAAAAACUCUUGAUGCAUGUUUUUCAAGAUAGCCUUAUAGGCUCUGCUGCUAGGGGGUAUGUUCAGCUAGACAGAACUCGCAUUCACUCUUGGAGUGAUAUGGCUCAUGACUUCAUCAGUCAAUAUCGACAUAUUAUUGAUUUGGCUCCUGAUCAUUUAUUUUUAUAGAACUUAGAGAAAAAGGUAAAUGAGUCUUUAAAGAAUAUGCCCAGAGAUGGAGAGAUUUAGCUUUUCAAGUACAAGCUCUUCUGAUUGAAAAAAAGACUACAGUGCUAUUUGUUAGCACUUUGAAACCUCCCUAUUAUGAAAAAAUGAUAAUGAAUGCAAUAAAAAUUUUACUAAUAUGGUAAUUUUGAGAGAAAUUAUCGAGAGUGCCAUCAAGAAUGGUAAGCUGAAAGGAAGUGAAGCAUCUAGCAAGAGAGUCUCGAAAAAGAAAGAGACUGAAGCUCAGGCUAUGAGCUUUGAUAAACAGCAAUUUGGGAGUUAUCAAUCUUACUCACCACAAGGAUACUUGCCAUAUUACCCUACUAUAAAUAACACUUCCCCUUACCCAUACCAACCAUUUGUACAGUCACCUUAUCCCCAAACAUAUCAACCUCCUCCUAAGCCUCAGAAUACCACAUAUAGUCCUAACACUCAACUUACCCCAAAACUUCAAAAUUGUCCAACUAACCCCAUGGGUGGUUCACGAGAGCAAUGAACUACCCGUGAAAAAUCUGUAUUUGACCGAAUUUCAAUGACUUAUACAAAAUUAUAUAAGGAGCUUUACAACAGUCAUUUGAUUGCUCUUAGUAAAUUAGAACCCCUCAAACCACUUUACCCUAAGUGGUAUGAUCCCACAGCCUACUGCGACUAUCAUUAUGAGAUUGCUGAUCACUCCACUGAAAAUUACAUCGUCCUAAAACAAAAAGUGCAAUGGUUGAUCAAGGAUGGAAUGAUUUGCUUUGAUAUGGGAGGAGUGACUGCACUGAAUGUUAGUGGUAAUUUUUUGUCGAAUCAUAAUGUGAAUGCUAUAAGUGAAGAACAGGAGUGCCAUAUGAAGAAAGAAGUGGUAGAUAUUAAGACACCUCUUAAUCAACUGUUUGAUAUUUUAUGAAAAGCUGACAUGAUACAACUAGUGAGUCCACACAGUUAUCAUAGAGUAUAUAUAGUCGGCACUAGUUGUAAAUAUCAUAGUGGGGCAAUAGACCACUCUAUUGAAACCUGCGAGCAGUUUCACCAAGAGGUGUAAAAACUCUUAGAUUCAUACCAGAUAGAGGUCUAUGAAAGAAGCAAAGACUUAAGAAGUGUUGAGGUAUCCAUGACUGAUAAGCCUGUAAAGUUGUUUCCAAAGUCGGUGGCAAUCUAUUGUGGGAACAAACCAAAGUCCAUCAUAGACAAACUCAUUUUCAGGCUGAUAACUUUUAAAGUUUUGACUCUCUUCUUAUACAAGGAUGAUAAAGCUGUACCCUGGAGAUAUGACUGUGAUACAGUAGUUCAGGGGUAAGAAGAGGAUGUCUCUAAAGCUAACACUUCUAAUAUAACUGGUGUAGGAGGUAUUUCCCGAAGUAAAAGGUGCUACACUCUAGAAAUGUUAGAGAAGGCUCGAAGAAAGAGGGCCAAUAAAAGAGAAGGGUGAAAUAAUCCUGAAAUAAAACCUGAAAAAGAUCGUCUGAAAUCGGUAUCAGAAAAAAAGGUUUGUGAAUUUUUGAAACUGAUAAAACAUAGUGAGUAUUCAGUUGUUGAACAGUUGAAUAAAAUGCCAGCUCGAAUCUCAUUGCUAUCACUACUGUUAAACUCAAAGCCACACCGAAAUAUCUUACUGAAAGUGUUGAAUUAGGCAUACAUGGCACAUAAUGUAUCUGUUGAAUGUGUGAAUCACUUGGCUGGAAAUUUAGUCAUGUCGAAUCACAUUUCGUUUAGCGAUAAUGAGAUUUCUUUGGAGGGAAAGAGAAAUGCCAAGGUUCUGCAUAUCACGAUCAAGUGUAAGAGCCAUAUCAUAGCCAAGUUCCUUAUUGAUAAUGGCUCUAUUAUCAAUGUCAUGCUUAUGUCAACUUUGGAGAGGUUACCCAUUAAUUACUCUCAUAUGAAGGACAGUCAGAUAAUUGUGAGAGCUUUUGAUGAAACCAGAAGAAAAGUCUUGAGGGAUAGCGAGAUGCCCUUGCAAGUUGCCAUGUACUUUUAAUAUGAAGUUUCAAGUGAUGCAUAUCUCUCCAUAUUAUAGCUGUCUAUUGAGAAGGCCAUGGAUUCACAUGGCAGGAGUUGUACUUUUUACCUUAUACCAAAAGAUCAAGUUUAAUGUAGAAGGUCAACUAGUAGUGGUAGUUGUGGAGGAAGACAUACUAGUGACCCAACCAUUAAAUACUUCAUAUGUAGAGGCUGUCGAAAAAGUAUUAGAAUGCUCCUAUCAAUCUUUUGAGCUAGUUAAUUCCAUAGGUGAAGGAUUUAAAAAUCAACCUUUUUCAAGGAUAGUGAUGAGCCAAAUCAUCAAUAAGGGCUGGUAUCUAGGACUGGGGCUGGGCAAGAACUUGCAGGGAAUAAAGGAACCCCGACGGUGAUAGAUAAUAGCGACAAGUUAGGCCUAAGCUAUGAGAUGGCAGAAUGGGAGAUCAAGAGAAGGCUAGCAGGAAAGAUAGCAAGAUUAAUGGUUAUCCCACACCUGCAUAAAACUUUCAGACCUGGAGGAUUCAUGUACCCAGAUACAAGAAAAAACGUGAAAAAUAUUUUUGCCCAAUUAACCAUUGAUGCUAUUGAAAAUGAAGUAGAGAUUAAUCAAGAGGGGUGGGUCUGUCUUUGUCACCAGAUUAUGAGCUGAGCAACUGGAGUGCCAUUGAAGUGCCUAUGAUUGUUGAAACUAAUACAAUAUAAUUGUAAUAUCCCAAUAGCUAUUGCCCAAGGUAUUGGGGUGAUCUUUCUUCUUUGGGCUAUUUAUCUUUUAUUAUUUUUAAUAAAAAUUAGGAAAGAUGUAUUUUCAUUCAUUUUUUUGUGUCUUCAUUAUUCCUAUCUUUUCAAGCACAUCUUGCCAAUAUAUCCCAUUUCAUUCAAUUUCAAGUCUUUAAAUGAACAUGAAGAUAAUUAUGAUAAUAAUCAAGAAGUUAGUUUUGAGAACUCAAUUAACACUGAUGAACUUGACAAUGAAGAGAAUUCUGAGGAAUAUGUUAUGCCUCCGGAUAUAAUGAGUUUGAUUGAAUAAGAAAAUAAGCCAAUUGAGCUGUAUCAAGAUAUAGUUGACUUAGUGAAUCUGAGAGAUGAAGAGAAUUAAAAAGAUGUCAGAAUUGACACUUCACUUUCAUCAAGAGAUAGACAAUGAUUGGUAGAUCUACUUCGAGAAUUUGUAGAUGUAUUUACUUGAUCUUACCAGGAUAUGCUAGGGUUGAGCACGGAGAUAUGGAGCACAGAUUACCCCUAAAGUUAGAAUCUAAGCCAGUUCAACAGAAACUGAGACGAAUGAAGCCUGAAAUGUUACUAAAGAUAAAAAAAGAGGUGAAGAAAUAAUUUGAUGCAGGUUUUCUACAAGCGGCUAAGUAUCCAGAGUGGGUAACCAAUAUAGUACCCGUUCUUAAUAAAGAUAGAAAGAUAUAAAUAUGUGUAGACUAUCGUGACUUCAAUAAGGCUAGUCCAAAAGAUAACUUUCUUUUACCUUAUAUCGACACACUGGUAGAUAAUAUGGCUAGGCAUUCAAUUUUCUCCUUUAUGGAUGGUUUUUCAGGGUAUAAUAAGAUAAAAAUGACUGCAGAUGAUAUAAAAAAGACUACUUUCGUGAUUAUGUGAGGAACCUUUUGCUACAAGAUCAUGCCUUUUGGGUUAAAGAAUACUGGAGUAACAUAUCAAAAGGCCAUAGUAACAUUCUUUCUUGACAUGAUGCACAAAAAGAUCGAGGUGUAUAUAGACGAUAUAAUUGUAAAAUCUUGUGAGGAUGAAGAUCAUGUCACCGACCUCAAAAAGUUAUUUGAGAGGUUAAGAAGAUUUCAGCUUAAGUUAAACCCAGUCAAGUGCACAUUUAGGGUAAAGUCAAGAAAAUUACUAGGCUUUGUGGUCAGUGAAAGAAGAAUUGAAGUCGAUCCAAAUAAGAUACGGGCUAUUCAGAAUUUGUCACCUCCCAGCACACCAAAAGAAGUUUGAGAUUUUCUAGAGAGAUUGAACUAUAUUUCUCGAUUUAUUUCUCAGCUCACUUACAAAUAUGAUCCCAUAUUUAAGCUUCUUUGCAAGAAUAAUCUUGAAAAAUGGAAUAAGGAAUGUCAAGAGGCGUUUGAUAAAAUUAAGCAAUACUUUUCAAACCCUUCAAUGUUGGUGCCAUUUGUUCCAGGGAAACUUUUAAUUCUAUACUUGACAGUAUGUGAAAAUUCAAUGGGAUGUGUGCUGGGGCAACAAGAUGAGUCUAGUUGAAAGGAUAGAGCUAUUUAUUAUUUGAGUAAAAAGUUCACAGAGUACGAAUCCAAGUAUUCUUCAUUGGAGAAAAUGUGUUAUGUAUUAGCGUGGACUGCCAAAAGACUCAGACAGUAUAUGCUCUAUCAUAUCACAUGACUCAUAGCAAAAUUGGAUCCAAUUAAAUAUAUCUUUGAGAAGCUUUCUUUGUCUGAAAGAAUUACUCGAUGACAAGUAAUGCUCUCGGAGUAUGAUAUUAUAUAUGUGAGCUAAAAGGCAAUAAAAGGGGGCACUAUAGCAGAAUUUUUUUAUAGAUCGUACUACUGAAGAGUAUGAACCAAUGAAGUUAAAAUUUCCUGAUGAAGACCUAAUGACUAUUUCCUAACUGGAGAAAAGAGAGCAUGGAGAAAAAUGCUGGAGAAUGUAUUUUGAUGGAGUGCCAAUGCCUUGGGACAUAGAAUUGGGACAAUUCUGAUCUCUCCAAAAGAAUAAUACUGCCCUAUAACAACAAGGUUAAAUUUUAAUUGCACAAAUAACAUUACUGAAUAUGAGAAAUGCAUCAUGGGCUUACAAGCUGCUAUAGCUAAGAGAGUGAAAGUAUUAAAAGUGUUUGGAGACUCAGCUCUAGUUAUAUAUCAGUUGAAAGAGGAAUGAGAGAUGAGAGAUUCAAAACUCAUUUCAUAUUAUAAGUAUAUUCUAGAGUUGAUGAAACAAUUUGAAGACAUCCAGUUUGACCACUUACCUCAAGAAGAGAAUCUGAUUGCUGAUGCAUUGGCUACUAUGGUUGUAAUGAUUCGAAUUAAUGAUAAUAUUGACAUUCAACCCAUCAAGCUAGAUGUUAAAGAGAUACCAGCUCAUUGCUCCAAUAUAGAAAAAGAAAAAGAUGGGAAGCCUUGGUAUUAUGAUAUCCUACAAUAUGUUAAGGAUCAGCAAUACCCAGUUCAAGCAAUAAAAAAUGAUAAAAGGGUCAUCCGAAGGUUGGCUAUGAGCUUUUUCCUAGAUGGGGAUGUUUUGUAUAAAAAAAAUUAGGAUCAAGUAUUACUUAAGUGCGUAAGUAAGGCUGAAGCGAGGAAAAUCAUUGAAGAGGUGCAUGAUGAAAUAUGUAGGGUACAUACCAGUGGACAUAUGAUGACGAGACAUAUUAUGAGAGCAGGAUAUUACUGGUUGACAAUGGAGAGUGAUUGCAUUGAUUAUACUUGUAAGUGCCAUAAAUGCCAGAUAUAUGCUGAUAAGAUUAAUGUUUCGACAUCUGCUUUACAUGUUAUAACACCACCUUGGCCAUUCUUAAUGUGAGGCAUGGAUGUCAUUGGUCCUAUCACCCCAAAGGCUUCUAACGGGCAUAGAUUCAUUUUUGUGAUGAUAGAUUACUUCAUAAAAUAGGUAGAGGUAGCAUCGUAUGCAAGUGUAACACGAUCUGUGAUUUACAAGUUCAUAAAGAGAGAUAUCAUCUGUAGAUAUAGACUUUUAGAGAGAAUUAUUUCAGACAAUGCCAAGAAUCUAAAUAGUAAGAUGAUGCAAGAAAUGUAUGCUUAAUACAAGAUCAAGCAUCAUAACUCGACACCAUACCAUUCGAAAAUGAUGGGGACAGUUGAGGCAGCCAACAAGAACAUAAAAAAGAUUCUAUAGAAGAUGAUUAAGACUUACAAAAACUGACAUGAAAAAUUACCAUUUGUGUUGCACGUAUAUCGAACAUCAGUGCGCACCUCUACUGGGGUAACCUCAUUUUUUUAACUCCAUACUUACUUAAUUUAGUUAAUCCAACGGUGAUGCCUAACCUCGAUAUUCAAACUUUUAUAAAGAGGUAUUACACUUUAUUAGAUUAUAUAUCUUCUGUUUCUUCAUAAGUAAUUUUAUUUAUGUAUUAAGUAAUUUUUUUCUUUUCAAUUUAGGAUAAUAUUUGCAUUCGAUAAGAAGAUAAAGAAACUGAAAUGGAUGUCAUUAUCGAUAAAUAUAAAAUAUAUUCUUUUAUGCUAAGUUUGUGUAGAUAAAUAUUUCUUAAACCCACUCAAUUUAAUUUUCAGGUACCUCGUCAACCGGAUAAUAUUGAAUAUAGAUAUUAUGUCCUUCAUUUUAUGCGAAAGAUAGUGUUACAUGAUUUUAUGACCACACCAUUCAAGGUUAGUAUAAAUUUCAUAAACUCAUUAUAUCUUAAAAAAAUAAAAAGGUACAUUAUGUUCUCAUUUCUUAGCAUUUACUUUUGAUUUUUUUUUUAGUGGGAGAGUAAAGAAAGCUUUAGGAAGAGGAAUUGGAUGAAGUCCAUAAAGAAUGGUGUGCUCAUGUAUUAUCAUUUAUCAAUGUUGAUAAACCAUCAGGUUAGACAUUGUUGGUUGAAUGUAAAUAUAUAAGGAACAAAUUGUUAUAAUGUUUUAAACAUGCCAUGUUGAAUGUAAACUUUAAGUUUGUACAUUGACGAAUUGGUUUAAUAUUAUUGUUAUACUUAAUAUGAAUACACUAUGUGUAUUUAAUAAAUUAUUGAGUAUGAUUAUUUUAGAAAAGUAUAUUAAUAUGGUAACGUUAUCAGUUUUAAUUUCAGAUGUGUCAUCAAUUUAUUGAAAUACAACAAUAUUCAUUAUGUAAAUUCCAAAAUGUAAUUCGUAGUAUCACAUAUAUAAACCAAAUAUUUUCUAUGCAUUAAUAAACAACAGACAGUAAACGUUUUUUAGGCAUAAACCUAUAACUGACUUGACAUAUACAAUAUCAAAUAUGUUUUUUUUGAUGGGAUUAAGGAAGGUGUUUUUAACAAGAAAUUGCUUUGAAUAAUCCCUAAUAAAAAAUUUUGAAGGCAUUUUUAACCAAAACUGCCUUCAAUAAUCACCCAAAAAAUUUAUUAUGUGAAAUAUUAAAGGUGUUUUAGGCAAAAUAUGCCUUCAAGAAUUCAUUGCAUCUUUUUUGUAUGGAUUAUUGAAUGCGUUUUAAAAAAAAUACCUUUAAUAAUACCAACUAAAAAUUAAUCGAAUAGAUUAUGAAAGUUGUUUUCCUACAGGUAACGUCUUGAAUAAUCCAUAACAAAAUAUUAUUGAAGGCGUUUUUGGAUAUAAUCGCCUUUAAUAAUCCGACCAUUAAAAUUUAUUGUCUUGAAUAUUAAUGGCGUUUUAGGCAAAAAAAUACCUUCAAGAAUCUGUCUCAUCUUUUUUGUAUAAAUUAUUGAAGGCUUUUUAAACAAACGCCUUCAAUAAUACUAAUUAAAAAUUAAUCGAAUGGAUUAUGAAGGGCGUUUUCCUAUAGGUAACACCUUAAAUAAUCUAUAAGAAAAUGUUAUUGAAGGCGUUUUUUGAUAUAAUUGCCUUCAAUAAUUUGACCAUUAAAAUUUAUCAUUUAGAAUAUUAAAGGUGUUUUGAGCCAAAAACGUCUUUAAGCAUCCGUUCAAACUUUUGUCUAUGGAUUAUUGAUGGCAUUUUUAACAAAAAUCGCCUUUAAUAAUCAUAACAAAAUUUUAUUGAUUGUAUUAUAAAAAGUGAGUUCAGCCAAAAAUGCCUUCAAGAAUCGAUUCAUAUUUUUCCUAUGGAUUAUUAAGGGCGAUUUUCGCAAAAAAUUGCCUUCAAUAUUUUCUGUAAAAUUUUUUAGAGCAAUUGGUGAACAUUUUUUUGCCAAGAAAAUGCCUAGAAUAAUCAAUUACAAAUAUCUCUGGAAAAACCCAAAAAAGGCUAAAGGGAGAGAUCAAACCUACAACCUUAUGGUUAACAUCCGUACAAUCCAAACAUUUUGAUAUGAUAUUUAUUGAAUGCGUUUUUGAACAAAAACGACUUCAAAAACGCCUUCAAUAAGUCUGUGAAAUUUUUUGGUCCAAUUGUUAAAGGUGUUUCUUGUACAAAAUGCCUUCAAUAAUCUCAUACAAUUUUUUAUUAGGUGAUUAUUGAAGGCGUUGUUUGCCAUAAACACGCCUUUAGUAUUCACUGAAAUUUUUAAGACAGAAUUAUUCAAGGCGUUUUAGUUGAAAAAUGCUGCUGAUAUCAAGUCUUGGGUAGCGUUUAUAAGUAACAACGUCGCUAUUUAAAUAUUUAGUGGCGUUUUGAUAAUAAACGCCUUAAGUUUUAUAAAAACAAUGAAGCUAAAGGCGUUUGUAAGUGAAAGGCCGCUACAAAACUGUCGCUAAUAUGCUAUUUUCUUGUAGUGUUUGUCAAAUUAUAAUUAUUUUGGUUCAAACAUAAUUAUUUAAAAUAUAAAUAAAAUUAAUAUAAAAAUUAAUUUUACUCAUUAAUAAUUAAAAUUUUCUAUCCAAUGUGAGAUGCACCACAUUCUAAAUUGUCAAUAAAAUCAUCCAAGACUAUAUUUCAUUCUAGGAUAUAAAAUGUGAGAACAUCUAAUUUUUGCGGAAAUCAUGGAAGCUCCGGUCAAUAUUUGUACUCCGCUGUUUUGCUAUUUGGUGUUAUGCCAUCGGCCGGAACCAGCCAAAGAGCGCUCACUUCGGCAACUUCUAUCUAAGUGACACCAUUGCACGCACGUUGCAGUUGUAUAUAGAUAAUGCCGGCUUAAUCCAGCUUCCAUUUUCAUCUUGAUCCUAGCCUGCAUGAAGUCUUUAUCUACUGACUUUUUUCAGCAUUUACUUUGGCAACAAGGCUUGUUCAGGUUUUAUAUCUUAGACAUCGAUCCCUGGCUCUCUUGGCAAAGCAUAUCAGCUCUUGUCACAGACAUCUGUGCUCUAAAGCAUGUUGAGAACGUGAGGACAAAAAAAAAAAAAGACUGCACAUAGAAGCCUGGGAGAGUUAGAAUCAUCAGAACUUGCAUGAUCAGCAAAACUACUGUCAAUGUUCAAGUGGAAAUUAGCUAUUUUCAGCGUUAUUGCGUUUUAGGCGUACCCAAGGCGAGUGACAAUAUUCAACAUGAAGGGUCACCACACAUCAGACAAAACCUGGCAAAGUAAGUGUCUGAUAUGAGAAAUGCAUUUGAUUGGUCACGGCCUUAAACUUCAAGGCAUGUUUCAAAGGCAAUCCGAGGAAUAUUUGAUUUCCAAUUUUCUUUGUUACUUCUUACAAAGAUUUCCGUAGUUACUAUUCCAAGAUUUUCUUUGAUAUUAGAUUUCAUCUUAUCCCCAACUUAUAUUCCAAGAUCGAUUAAAAAUUAAUGCUUGAGGAUAAAAACAAAAGUACAUAUAUCUAUACACGUAGAUCAAUAAAAUAUAAAAGAAAAUUAAUUGGAUUAACAUGUUAUUUGCAUGGAUAAUGGGGUUUUAAUUUCUGUAAUUCAAAAUUAUUGAAUUAACCCAACUUGUACAUAUGCACCGCCUUAUUACGUAUAGGAUAAUGAUAUAUCCUUGCAAUUUUCAAUAAUCACUCAAGUUAUUAUGGUUUUAUCUUUUAUUGCUAAAUUAGUUUUUUUAAUUAAUUAAAUUCCUCAAAAUACAUGCGCACGUACCUCUAUAAAAAGCACACAAACUAGCAAUUGCAUGAAGUCAUAUACUGUGAGAAAUUAAGAACACAAAACCCUACUGAUAACUUCCUUUCAACCAAGAAAAUAAUUGAAGCAAAGGCUUUCAGUUUCAGUGUGAUGGUAAGGAUCAAGGCUUUCAUCUUUGAAAAACCUUGGUUUCAUGGCUAGCUACUUUUUAUGAAUGUACAUUAAAGGUUUUCUUGAUAUCCCCUUCUUUCUUCUCUGCAGGCAUUGCUAGUUAUUGCUUUUUUUAUUUUGAACUUUGGUUUUGGGAUUGGUAAUUGCCAAUCCCUUAAUGUCAUCAAUUUUGGGGCUGUUGGAGAUGGAAGAACAGAUGAUUUACUGGUAAAUUUUUCAUCUUUUUUAAGCUUAAUUUAAGCUGCAUGUACGUACAAUAUUGUACAUGCAUGUUUUUUUGUAUACUGCAUAUAGUAUAUUCCUAUUUAAUUAUUUUCUUUUUGCUCUCUCUCUCUCUCUCUCUCUCUCUAUAUAUAUAUAUAUAUAUAUAUAUAUACGAUUAUAUCUGAUCUUACUAAUAAUUAUGUGCUAAUUUUGAAUAUGUAGGCUUUUUCAAAAGCGUGGACAGCUCUGUGUGCAGCAACUAAUAAUCCAACCUUGGAAAUCCCUUCUGCCAAAACUUUUUUGCUGAGUUCUAAAAUUGCUUUUUCCGGUCCUUGCAAGUCAAAAUCCAUUCAUAUUAAGGCAAAUAGCACAGUUACUUAGUUCAUAUUCAUGUCUUUUUUUUUUUUUUUUCAACUUUUGCAUAUAUUAUAUAAACAUGAUUGGAACCUGUGAAUAAAUUAAUACUUUUAUAUCAAUUCAGGUUCUGUGAAAGAAAAAAAAAAGGAAAAGAUUAAUUCGGUUGUUAUCCUUGUCCGCUAGAAUAUAUUAAAACCACGUUAUAUUAUAGAAACUUCAACCAAUAUUGGCUCCUCUUGUUUUCUAUAAUUUAUUUAUUUAUUUUAUAUAAAUUUGUAACCAAAAGAAUAAUAUGCUUGGCAAGAGGAAAGGGUUAACUAAGAUUUGCAUUCUAUAUUUUUACAUAUAUAUAUAUAUAUCGUAUAUGUUAAUUAGGUUUAUGAUCUUUUGCUUAUUUAUAAAUUUAUUUAUCAAUUGCUCGAAAAAACAAAAAAAAAAAGAAAAGAGCUAAGCUUAAUACACGAACAAAAUUAGUACUAGGGUAAUUGGGUAUACAUAUCUAUGAUUAAUGGUAAGUAAAUUUUCAACCUUUUUUACCAAAUUUUCAUACAAAAAAAAUGUCCUACUGUAUACAUAUUUUCAGGUCCUUGGAAACAUUAUUGCACCAAAAAGCAAUACGUGGACAAAAUGUGAUAAUGGUUGCUGGCUGUGCUUCUCAAACGUAGCUGGUCUUACUGUUGAUGGAACAGGCCAAAUAGAUGGCAACGGUGCUGCUUGGUGGAAUAAAGUAUAAUGCAUGCUCAAUUUUUUUUUAUUUUACAUUUUAUUGUCCAUUAAUUAAUUAAUUAUAAACUGACUAAAUAAUUCUUUUAAUUCAAUUUAUUUUUCAGACACCAAAUGAGUGUGCACCAGCAGUAAGUUUGUCUUGCUUAUCAUAAAGUUGAGAUUAAUUAAUUUCAUAAAUUAUCUUACCCUAUUAAUUUUUUUUAAGAAAUUAAUUAUUGAUGCAGGUUAUUUCUUUCGACAAUUGCAGUAAUCUUAAUUUUCAUGGAAUCACUUCUUUAAAUAGUCCUGGAAAUCACGUAAGCGUGAAUAGGUGCAAGGAAGUGGAUAUAUCACAUAUUCAACUAAUUGCACCCAAAGAUAGUCCCAACACUGAUGGGAUUGACAUCUCCUCAUCCACUGCUCUUUCGAAUUUCAGACUGUUUCUUUGGAACCGGUAUAUAUAUAUAUUUAUAUAUAUAUAUAUAUAUAUAGAGAGAGAGAGAGAGAGAGAGAGAGAGACUUACGUAUUUUUAUAUAAUGUUGUUUUCACAUUGUAAGUAUGUCUUUUCUUAAAAAUUAUUAUUUUAUUUAUAAUAUAGGAGAUGAUUGCAUAGCUAUCAAUGGCGGUUCCUCUCAUAUAAACAUCACCCGCCUUACAUGUGGACCAGGCCAUGGAAUUAGGUAAUUUUUUAUUAAUUAACUUAGCAUAUAUAUAUAUAUAUGAAUUUUUUCUAAAAUAAUUCAUCAACUUCUGCGUAUGAUUGUAGCGUGGGAAGUCUUGGAAAAAAUGGGAAAAACGAAACAGUGGAAUGGGUGCAAGUGGAGAAUUCUAUCUUCAAUGGAACUCAAAAUGGAGCUAGAAUCAAGACAUGGGUGGUAGUUAUUUUUAUUAUCAUUCUUAAAAGAUUGAUCAAGAAAACUUCUUAAUUUCUUCUCAAUAGCAUUAUUUUUUUUUUUUUUUUGUUCUAUAUAUAGGGUGGUGCUGGAUUUGCAAGGGAUAUUUCCUUCGUUGGCGUUCAACUCAUAAACGCUGAAAACCCGAUCAUUAUUGACCAACACUAUUGUCCUCACCAAACAUGUCAACCUGAAGGGGUAAACAUAUACAAUUCGUGUUGGAUUUUUUUUUUUAUGAAUAAAAUUUUACUAAUUAAUUAAUUAUAAUGUAUACAUGCAGAAAACAGCAGUAAAGAUAAGCAAUGUGAGAUUUAGUGGAUUCAAAGGGACAUCCGCUACUGAGGUUGCUAUCAAACUGGAUUGCAGUAGUAUAGUUCCUUGCACUGGUAUCACUCUAAGCAACAAUAUGAUAACUUCAUCAACUCCUGGAAAGAAGGUAAAAGCUGAAUGCAAUAAUGCUCAUGUCUCUUCCACCUUAACAACUCCCUCAGUCACUUGCUUAACACCCGAACACAUAUCAUUUAUUACUCCAAAGCUUAAGGAAAGUACGUACGAGCAGUGAUCCAGAAUGUAUAUUUAUCAGCCUAAUUUAGAUAGAUAAAAAUUACUAUAUACUAUCAUUGAUGGACCUAUUACAUAUAUAUAUUGUCUUUGAUUAAUGGCUUGCAAAAAUUAAGUAUCAUAUGUAUAUACUCUGGAAUCGCAAUAAAUAUAAAGCAGCUUUUGGAUAUUUAAGAAAUUUCUGUAUUUGAAAUAUAUCCAUCUUCUCUGAUUGGUGUCCCCUUGUGCGACUCUUCCCUUCUCCAUCCAAUUCUUCUUCUUGGAUCUUAAUUUGUUAAUUAUUGCAAGGAAAUUGGGUGAGGCCUUUGCAACUUGAAACUUAUAUAUAGGGAUAACUCAGGUUUUGUCAUUAAAAGUCGAGUUUCUUACGCAUCAUUAACGUUUGUGAUGUCACUUCCUUGUUUUAAAGACUCUGACACUACAAGAAAAUGAAUAUUUAGCAACUGUCCAACCGCCAAUCAUCAUAAAAGGGAAGUUAAUUUACUACUUGAUAUGCUUUUUGUAAUUCUCGUUAAGGCUUAUCAAUGAGGAGUAAAACCUCAAUAUAAGGGUGUGUUUAUUUAAUCCACCAGGGUAAAGCCUUUUCUCAGUGUCAAGCUCACCAUUCCUCAAUCCACUUGUGACAGCACUGUUUAUAUAAUUGAAAGUGUCCCCUUACGCAAGGGAUUCUCUUAACAAAUUUGUUACUUAAUUGUAUUAUUCAAAGAUUUUUGUCCAAGUUUGCUCAAAUAUAAUUAAUCACAGCAUUGUGUCAACAACUAAACACAUAUACUUUGUUCAAUUCUGCUUCGACAUUAAUCUCUUCAAUCUUAAUGGGUGGAAAGUUUCUCUUUUUUUAAUUCAUUUUCUUCCACAAGCAAAUAAUUUGGGUUGCAUCGGGCCUUUUGCUCUCGAGAUAAAGUAAAACCCUAUUUUGGUUCUUGUUCAGUUGAUCAUGCAAGAAACGUUAACUUGUAAUACUGUUAAGAGUAGAGAUAUCGGAAAACCUGAGAGAAUUCCACUUAUAAUAUUCCAUAUUGUAUAUUCUAAUUCUUGUCCGCAUAGGCAAGACCGAGAUGAAAAGAAAUGAAACGCUACUCGGUUUCAACUACAAUAUUAGGGAACUUUUUCAAAUUUAUUGCUGUGAUCUUCAUUUUAUUUCGGGACAGACAUAUGAUAUAUCCACUCAGCUACCGCACUUCGAUUUUCUAAUGGAUGCUGAAAAUCAGUCAAGAAAUUAAAACGAGUCAGUUUCUUCAUAAAUUCAAUCAGUGACACAAUUUAUCCAAAAAACAAUAAUAAUAAUUGAUAAAAAAAAAAAGUAACAUAUAACAUAAUUUCUGCGGAGAUUGAGAGAUUAUUACUUCUUGCAAUCGUCGGCGGAGGGAGCAAGGGGCACGGGGAACUCGAUAUUACAAUGUUUGAGAACUUGCUUAGCUCUAUCAGGCUUUUAUCCGUCAAAUACCGCAUAAUAGUGAAGACAUUCACAGAUAUCCUUGCGGGUUUUGGGUUUGGUAAUGCCACCGACUGUGUUAGACAAACCUAUGCAGCAAUUAACGUCCGGUGUGGCUGCUUUACCCACCAAGUAGGGCCUGCAAUACUUUAAAAAAUGCACUACCCAGUCCUGGCAUGUUGCUUCCGUAUCUGCAUUCACAGAGUUAUUACUAACAACCAAAAACACUAACCCUAAAACCAACGGAAACCAAGCUGAGAAAUCCAUCGUUUUCUUCCCCUUUUUCAACCAUAAUUAUUCUUGCUAAAAAAGAUAGUAAAAAUAUUUUACUUCUGUUGGAGCAUUUGUUUGUUAUAUGCGGCAUGCACUGUGUACUUAUUUAUAGGUCCGUAUCUGCUAAAAUGAUUUAUUGAAGUCUAGAGUUAUUGUAUUAAUGGAAUUGAUUAAUAUUUCUCGUUGUCAAUAUACUCCAUUUGGACAGUCUUGCUGUGUAGGUUAAUUAAUUUACCAUAUUUUAAUUGCUUGAGUGGAAUCCCAUCUGUCAUUAAUUAAAUUUGCAGUCAGAAUUAGUGAUUCUAAACACAAACGGUGUUUUCUUCUGAGGAUUUUAAUGGUGGCAUCUUAUUUUGGAAUGCUCCUCCUCACAUCCUUCCUUAUACGGUUUUACAUAUGGACCUUAUCACUAGAAGAUGUUUGAAGGGGAAUAGUGUACCAACUAUUCCUCUAUACAUUGAAGAUUGAAUUUGAAAAUCAACCAUUUACUCAAUUAAAAAAAAAAAUUAAACCUUGUUAUGAAAAUCCAUGUGACUAAAGAAAAAAAAAUCAAAAUGUGCCAUAAAUUCCUAUAUUCGUUGAUUUUUAAAGAUUUAGUUUCUCUAAUAUUAUUUAAAAGAAUUUAAUCCUUAUAGUAUUAUUUUUAAAAAUUUAAGUCCAAUCAUUAAUAGUGUUCAAUUUCAUCUAUCAAAUAGUUGACAUGGCUACUAUCGUGGUAUUUUCAUUGGCUUUUAACAUUGUUAAUGAUGAUGUGUAUUACAAAUUCUAGCCACGUGAACUAUCAAAAAGCGACAUCAACAUUAACAUAAAUAUUUUUAAAAUUUAAUAAUAUCUUAAUAUCAUUAAUUAAAAAAAACUCUAAAAAUUAGAAAAAAAGAUUGAUUGAAACCCAAAAAGCUGAAGAAAUUCUUUACACAAUAAAAAAAUGCCAACAUUUUCAAUCCUAAUCAAAUCCCAUAUGGAAUAACUCAAAAAGUGAAACCAAUAGUAGUGUCGAACCUUUGAAAGAAUGACAAUUUUAGCUUGAAAAUUCAUCCAAAGCCUUGCUUGUAAUCACAUAAGCCUUCAUUUUUUAACUACAAUUUGUGUUCCAUCAUCUAGUUCCCUUUAUAAACUACACCAAAGCCACCAUGACCAAGUUCAUUUUUAAAGCGAAGGUUUUUUCUUUCACAUUUCUAAGAACUUGAACUAAUAUUGUUAGGGGCAUAUAAUGGUCAAAGGGUAUUAGUGAUUUUUUUUUCCUUUCUUAAUCUUUAGCAGACAAGCAAAUGUACCAUGAUCAUUUGUGCUGACUUGAUAUAUCAGGUCGGUCUAACAUGUCCAGUGCCACCUCAACUUGGCUCUAUCUUAAUUGUCCUUUUUUUUGUCUCCCUAAACUUACCUAUAAAUAUGGAAACUUAGGCAUCAUAAAAUCAAGUUCAUCUAACUUAUACCUUUCCAAUCGGAUCCUUACUGACUUGUGCGUCGAAGUGCAAUUGUAGGGAAUAUCCCCUGCUUUUGCCUCUAAUUAUUCUUUUCAUCUCUUUUUAUAGGAAAACUCUUAGGUAGAAGCUUGGUACAAACAUUUGGUUUGUGAAGUAGGAGACUAGCAUUUUCAUAACAGUCGAGCACAAAACAAUGCCAUAUAGAAAAAGAACCUAAGAGGAAGGAGGGGCAGUCGUCCUGACUGGAAUAGAAAUUCAUCAAACCAACAGUCUGUCUGCCUAGCUCAACCACAGGUAAGGCUAACCAUGGAGCAAUGUCAAGCUUGGAUUGAGCAAAUACAAGCCUUGAAAUAGAUGCUUAAACCUAUAACCCCACCAUAAUUCUUCAAAGUGCUAAACCUAGUCACAUUGGAUUGAAAAGCUAUUGUCGAGCAGCCGAGCUACGAAAAAUUGGAAGCCUUCUUGAUCUCCAAAAAAGAAGAGCACACCAAUCCAACCCUUUACUGCCCCAAUUAAAAUUUUACACAUGCCACAACCCAAAAGUCCAAACAAACAGACUAUGAACCCUAAUCGAACAAAGACUUGAAAGCUCGGAUGUAGGCCAUAGAGAAAGAACUAAAAAAGCUAGUAGCUUUUGAGGAUGAGCUCAAAUUCUUAGAGACUUCACUCUUUAAGAAAGAGAUUGACGGAGCCAUACCUCCAAAGGGAUUUAAAAUGCUAACCUUGUAGAUAUAUGAUGACACUUCUGAACCCUUUGAUCAUUUAGAACUUCAUAGAACUAACAUAAUGGUAUAUAAGGCAUAUGAGGCUAUUAUGUGCAAAGGUUUAGCCAUUAUUUUGAAAGGUGUAGCUCAAUCUUGGUAUAAUAGUUUAGAGCUGAGGUCAAUCACUAUUAUCAAGAAGCUCAGUCACUUAUUUCUAUCCUGAUUCAUGAGUAGCAGAAGAGCUAAGAAAAUGACCCUAAACCUGAUGUCAAUUCAUUAAGAGUAUAAUGAAACUUUAAAAAGCUAUGUCACGCAUUUUAACAUGAAAGUUUUAUAGGUCAAAGACCUAGAAUAAAUGAUCGUUGUUGUCACAUUGACCAGUAAACUCAAUGAUAAAAAGUACCACUAAAAGUUGACAUUAUUGCUGGAACCAUUAAAAACUCUGGCCGAUGUUUUGUUGAUAGUAGAGAAAUAUGUCAAAGCUGAAGCUCUAAUGAAAACAAAUCGAGCUAAAAGAGGCUUAUCUCCUCUCAUUGACAGUUGAGGUGAGAGAGGCUCAUCAUUCCUUUUCGAUCAUAAAAAAGACAAGAAAUUCUACGAUCUUCCCCUAAGAAAUAUAGGGCUAAAAGUCCUAGUUAAGAAAAAAGCUCAUUGCAAUGAAUACCUCUCAUAAGAGGAUUUUGAUGCAAAUUGAAAAAAAUCUUGAUUUUAGAUGGCCUAAGCCACUAAGAUAAAAUACAAGGCAGGAUUUGACCAAAAAAUACAUCUUUCAUCGGGACAUUGACCAUAAUGCAUAAGAUUGUAUCAACCUAAAAAUUGAGAUUGAAGCUUUGAUUAAGCUCGAUCAGUUGAAAAAGUUUAUCGGACAGAUAAGCUAAGAUCAGUUUAAAAAAGACUAUAAAAAUUAUCACAUAACGCCCAAUCGGAGUAUAGAGGAAAGAUCAAAUCAAGGAAGAAAAAUGCCUAAAAGGAAAAGCUAAAUUAGGAAGAGGGUCGAGCUAACAACAGCAGGCCAAUUGUCAAAGUGAUUAAUGUGAUCAUAGGAGGUAGCUCUACCUCAACAAAAAAGAAGUUCAACUCGGGCUCAAUAAUGACAAUAGGCUCAUUGGCUAAAAAAAAACUUGAGAAACAAGUCGAUCUCAUUCAGUUUGAAAGAUUUGAAAAGGAUCCAACACCCACAUGAUGAUGCCAUAGAGUAAUCUUAGUCUUAGUGCACACUAUAUGGUCAAAAGAAUCUUAUUUACUAAUGGGAGUUCCACUGACAUUAUGUACAAUGACUGUUUUAAGAAAAUGAAGAUCAGUGAAGACAGAUGAAGUUGAUCCCUACAACACUAGAUGGGUCUGAAAAUGAAUAGGUGCAGUAAGAAGAACCAUCAAGCUCUCGAUCUCUUUGAGAAUAGAGCUAAAGAUUAUCACCUCAGUUGUAGAGUUCAUGAUAGUAGAUAUUCAUUUACCUACAACAUGAUAUAGGUUGACCUAGGUAUCCUGUUAUGGCAGGUUAUAGGCUCAGCUCCCCACUUACAAGUAAAAUUUCCAAUGUCUCCAAGGGUUAAAGAAGUUUGAAAAGACUAGUUCAUAGCACGAUAAUGUUAUGUUACAAUGAUAAAGGGUAGAACUAAGAAGUAGAUCGGCAGCUCAACUAAUAUCAAAGUGGAAAGCAAAGAGGAAUCAACAUAAAAAAUUGGCGAAAAACAAAAAAAAAAAACUAUUGAUUUAAGCACAAAACAUAAGGUCAACCUGAUAGAAUCAUGCUUUUAAGCCGUUCAGAGCUCUUAAACUUCGUAAAAAUUUAAUUUUUUAAAUUUUUUAAGACAACAAUAAAAGUGAUCGAGCUCUUAAGUAGGCAUAAAAAAUUAAUGUUACUUAGAACAAGCUAACACAUUAGCCAAAUCAUUUCUACUAAUAUGUUUAACAAGUUGUUCAAUAUACUAAUCAUUUUGUCAGGAUCUGUUUUCACAGAAAAUGAUCCAAACCUAAUGGAAUAAAAAAAUAAUCGAUCAAAGGCUGGACUCAGAUAAAAAUUGACCUAAAUUAGCUUAGUACCUCAUAACAAUUCUAUUUCGGAACAAUACUCCUCAAAAAUACAUGUAGAUUGAAGCUAAACUCUAACAUAAGGACCAAUUGAUUUAAUUUAUAAAAGAUAAUGCAGACUUGUUUGGUUGGACACCAUCUAAUAUACCCAGGAUUGAUACUAAGGUAUUGGUCUACAGACUACAUACUAAUUUUGAUGUCAAACCAAUUCAACAAAAGAAAAGAACUUUUACCCUUAAAAGAAAACAAGUCAUUAAGGAAGAGGUUGACAAAUUAUUACAAGCUAGCUUUAUCAUGGAGGUUUACUACCAUGAGUGGAUAGCCAAUAUGGUUAUGGUUAAAAAGCGCAGGGAAAAAUGAAAAAUGUGCAUGGACUUUAUUGACUUGAAUAAGGCUUGUCCAAAGAAUAACUUCUUCCUCUCUAGCAUAGAUCUGUUAGGGAUGAUAGUGCCAAGCAUAUCUUUCUCAGCUUCAUAAACACUUAUUUCGGCUAUAAUCAAAUCAAAAUAUUGAAAGAAAAUGAGGACAAAUUAGCUUUUAUUAUUGAGAAAUGCUUUUAUUGCUAUAAAGUCAUGCUUUUUGGAUUAAAGAAUAUGGGGAUGACCUACAAGAGAUUGGUGAAUAAGGUAUUCAAGGACUAAAUUUAUCGUAAUAUGAAAAUAUAUGUAGAUGAUAUGAUAGUUAAGAGCAAAAGCUUGAUCGAGCAUCUGAAAACCUUUAAAAAAACUUUUAACACUUUGAGAAAGUACAACAUGAGACUUAACCCAAGCAAAUGCAUUUUUUGGGUUACAUCGGAUAAGUUUCUUAGCUAAGUGAUCAACCAAAAAGGGAUAAAGGUAAACUCAGAGAAGGUUCAGGUGAUUUUAAAAAUGAAAGCAUCGAUUUUAGUAAAAAAGGUACAUAGGCUAAUAGGCACAAUAGUUGCACUCAAUCGAUUCAUGUCUAGAGUAAUAGAAUGAUGUCUACCAUUCUUUAAAACUUUUAGAAAUGUCUCUAACUUUAUAUGGACUCCUCAAUGCCAAAAAUAUUUUGAUGAACUUAAAGAGUUCUUAUCAUCUCUACCUAUCUUAUCAAAAUCUAGGACUGGUAAAACAUUAUACUUGAAUUUGGCUACCAUAGAUCAGGUUAUCAGCUCGAUCUUACUUUGAGAAAAAGAGGGGAAAAAAUGAUCGAUCUAUUUUGUAAACAACGUAUUGAUAGGGCUUAAAGUUAACUACAGUAGUAUAAAGAAAUUGGCCUAUGCCAUGGUCACCUCGAUCAGGAAACUCAAGCAAUACUUCCAAGCCCACAUGAUCCAUAUUUUGACCGAUCAACUACUAAGGCAAGUCUUACAAAAACCUAAAAUGUCGAAAAGGCUAAUCAAAUGGGUAAUAGAGCUUAACAAAUUUGAUCAAUAGCUUUUACCUAGAUCGAUAUUAAAGUCGUAGGUGUUGGCAGACUUCGUAGUGGAGCGCACUUCGAUAUAAGUGGAAAGAUAGCCUGACAAAAAAAAAGAAAACUUUGGAUAAGGAUGAUUGAAAGCUUUAUGUCGAUGGAUCUACUACAAGCUAGGACGGAGGAGCUAGCCUCAUUCUAAUAAGUCUGAAAGGGCUACAGUAUCCAUAAAUCUUGAGAUUCAAGUUUAGGACAUCUAAUAAUGAAGCAAAAUAUGAGGCAUUGAUAGCAGGCCUAAAGUUGACAACUGAGUUGAAUGUUCAACAAAUAACCACUUAUAGUGACUCCUAACUAGUUGUUGGUCAGAUAAAUAAGCAGUUCGUAGCUUGAGAUAAUGGAAUCCAAAAGUACCUUCACAGAGCACUAGCCUUGAUAGUUGGCUUCAAGAAAGCCAAAGUGAAAAAGAUAUCGAGGUUAAAAAAUUCAAUAAUAGACUCCCUAUAUAAGUUGACUUCAAGAGCAGCAAUGAGAAGCCUGAAUGAAGUUCUAGUAGAGGAACUAGUGCAUAAAAGUAUCGAGGAUAAGCUCAUGGGAUAGAUCAUAAAAAAAAACCUAGAAAAUACCAAUCAAAACAUACCUGACCAUGGGAAUGUUACCCGAUGAAAGAGUCUGGGCUAAAGCACUGAUGAUCAAGGCACCUAGAUACAUGAUGAUUAAGGAAAAAUUAUACAUGGGAUGAGAUCCUUUAUCCUACCCUACUUGAGAUGUGUUGAUGAAGAGGAGUUAGAGCAUGUCAUGAAAGAAAUCCAAAAAGGAACUAUGUGAAAACACAACCUCAGACCUCACCUUUGGCUUAUAAAGUGCUAAAGCAGGGUAUUGUUAGCCUAUUAUCAAGAGAGAUGCAACCAAACUAGUGAAAUAAAUGUGACAAAUGUCAAAGUUUGCCUAUGUGUAACAUUUCCUUUCGAUCGAGCUCACUCUUUUCAUUAGUCCGUGGCCCAUUCAUGUAGUGGAUGAUUGGUGUCCUUGAACCAUUCACCCCUACGCCAUAGGUUAGAGGAGAUUUGUCUUAGUGACAAUAGAUUACUUCACAAAAUGAUUGGUAGCCAAAGCCUUAGCCACUACCAUGGAAGUGCAAGUUGAAAAAGUUUGUGUGGAAAAGCAUAGUCUGCAGAUUCAAGCUACCUCAGUCCAUAAUAUAGACAAUGACAAAUAAUUUGAUAAUCUGAUGUUCAAAGAAUGGUGCUCAAAUCUUCACAUCAACCUCAAGUUCAUGUUGGUUACCCACCCUUAGUUCAACGGGUAAGCCAAAGCUACAAAUAAGACAAUACUAAAACUUUGAAAAAGAGGCUCAAUGCAGCAAAAGAAAAAUAGGCUGAUGAGUUAUUAGAAGUUUUGUGGGCCUUGAAGACAACCACAAAGGUCCUUACUGGUGAAACCCCAUUUCAUUUGGCUUUUGAAACAGAAGUUAUAGUGCCGAUUGAGAUUGACCUACCGAGCUUAAGAGUUGAAUUAGCAUCAGAAGAAAAAAAAAUAGACACUUAAGGCUGACUUGGACCUCACUGAAGAACAAAAAGACAUAGCUUUGACUCAAAUUGUAGCCUACCAUCAAAAGGUAGCUAAUUAUUAUAAUAAGAGGGUCUAGCAUAUACACAUCAAGGAAGAUGACUUGGUACUUAAAAAAGUCGAAGCUUCAAGGAUUGAUGAUCGAUGUGGCAAGUUAGCCCUAAUAUGGAAGGACCAUAUAUUGUAAAAGAGGUUAUCCACGAUACAACCUACAAAUUAAAAAAUCUAAACAACGACAUCAUCCCAAGGACAUAGAAUGCAAACAACUUAAAGGUUUUAUUAUCAGUAGCUCAGUGUAAAUCGAGCUCACACUUGUACUGUUUUAUGAAUAGCACUGCCACCCCAAGUAUAUGAAAUUCAAAUCAACUUGAUUACUAGUAGAUCAAAGCAAAUUGAGCUUACACUUGUGUUAUUUUAUCUUAAGAAUAUGAAAUGCAAUUAAAGGUUUAUUAUCAUUAGAUCAGUUUUAACUGAGCUCACAUAUGAAAUUAUUUUUAGUAAACUUGUCUACAAGUGAUUUAAAGUCAUUUAAAGAAAUCUGACUUGAAACUCAUAAUUACAUUAAUAUGAUCUAAAGUAAUUAUGCAAGUCUACAAUCUAAUUAUCUAUCUUUGGAUCGGUAAAUCGUUCUCGAACUAAUGCAAAUAAAGAAAAAACAACAGUAAAAUUGAGCUGUAACUUAAAAAAUUUUCCUUUCUAUUCUGAUGCAACUCAUUAUAUUAAUUGGAGUAUGGGAGGUCUUCAUAAAAACCUGAUUUCAAAAUUUUACAAAAAGUUCAUAAAAAGGUUACAAAAUAAAAAACAAAAAUCAUUAAAUUUAUGCAUCAAUAGUGGCAGCAGCGGAAGGAGUACCCUUACCAGUGGUAGUUGGAGAAAUGCACUCAUCAGCAGUAGUGGGAAGAAGGACCUUAACUUCAACAACCUCUACUUCUUCCUCUUUUAUUCCUAUGACAGUCUCUAACUUUUCUCUAAGCUUGAUCUUUCUCAUUUUCUUCUUUUUUUUUAUUUUCUUUUUCAUGUUAUUUAGGUUGAUUUGGAACAAACCUUAAUCUGAUAUUCUUGAUAUCAAUAUCAAAGAGGUUGAGGUUGAAAGUGGAGAAUUUGAAUUACACCUAUUCAUUGGCUAGUUAUAAAGCAUCAAGAAUGUUCUUCUUGGAGAACUCUACUUCACCCAAAGAUACUCAUUGAAGGUUUUAUACUUUUUUUCAGCCUUAAUCUAUAGGUUCUCUUCCCUUUUGCCUCAAGCAUCCAACUCAGACCUCAACCUCGUAAUUUUAGCCAAGUAUCAUUUAGUUUUAGCUCAACUUGUUCCUUCAUCAAUUUGGUUGAGGCUUUGUCUAAUGAGACGACCUUCAGCUUUGCUACCAAGUUAUCUUUUUUUUUUCUCAACUUUGUCUCCUUUUUGUGGGAUGCAGUAAAGCUUGAUCUGACGUUGCCUAGUGCUUUCAAGCUCUUUUGUGCUUUUCAAAAAAGGAAAUGAUAUCUCUCUCAACUCUUAGCAUAUGCCUCAUUACAAGAUAAGCAUAAUGAAGAGUUCGAUUGUUAUUCUUCAUGAGCUGAGGUGGAAACUUUUUUUGGACUGCAAGAAAAGAUCUUAAACUUAGAAAAAUAAAAAAAAUAGUAUAAAAAAAACAAGUAGAGGUUAGGAGAUACUCAUCAAGGGAAAGAACUACGACUUUGCGAAACCUCUUAGCAACAUUGGGGUUGGAGAUUGGAUCAUUUGUCAGAGCAAACUCCAACCCCAAUGUUAUUCUUUUUGAGCUAGGUUUUAGCACACUAGUUGGGGUUCUUAAGAGGAGUGGAUAACACCUUCACCCAUGAUCUUUUGGCAUGAAGGGUGGUACUUGUGCUGACAUGGAGUAUAGGUCUUGACCUACCUUAGCUUUUAAUUUUUGACCUAAGGGAAUACGAGGUAUGGCCGUGCUGACUACUUUGUCUCUCUUAUAUAACGGGGCCUGGAGUUGAAUUUUUUCCCUUUCCUUCUCAGGCCUUAGGGCAUAUUGAUAUAGGGUGACAUUAAAGUCUUCUUUAGCUUUAGCUAUAUCUGUAAAAUUAAGCUAAUAGUUAGUUAAAAAAUUAACUUAAAACAAAACUUGACAAGAUUACCUUAAAUCUACCCUAAUUUUUGUACUAUUUAUUACUUUUAGGGAGGUCAACCUGUGAGCAUUGAUAACGAGCUCUCCUUAUGUGUAAAAUCUACAAUUUUAUCUCGAUCUGACAAAUCAAUGAAGGAAAAGGCCAUUAGUGCAUCCACAAAGGAAUGGAGUGUACUCUUUAUUUCCUAAGCCUCAAUCUCAGGCUUACUAUCUUUAUUGAGCUUCUGUUUUGCAAGGCAUAGGAAGGGCAGCUACCAGUUCUUUAUUGAACUCGGGAAAUCGAUCAAAAUCUUUUUGUUUGGUCGAGUUGUAAUAUAAAACUACCACUAUCACUAAGAUAUUUUUUAAGAGAAAAGAACUCCUUGAUAGAUGGAGACAGUGAAGAAUAUUUAAAUGUUGACAAAGAAUAAUAAAAGCGACUAUGUACCGAGCAACAUUUUGGGUGAGCUGAGUGAUGGUUAAAUUAUAAAAAUUAAAAAUUGAAAUGAAUAAAUGAUAAGUGAAACCUUUAGAUCGAUGAGGAAUGAAUCCCAGUAUACAUAUAGCUCAUAUGGCUCUACUUAUUAGUGACUCGGUCUGAAAAAUUCAAUAUUAUUAUACUAUACCCCUCUUUGAGAAAAGGGAAAGUGGUACACUACAGGUGUUUUGGUUUUUAGUGGCAUUUUUUUUUACUGUUUAGUGGCAUUUAUUAACACCACUAUAAAGUUUGUGGCGGUUGUGAAAAAUGCCACGCAGAAUGCCGCCUAUUCACACUUCACGAAAAAUAGUGGCGUUUUUAAAAAAAUGCCUCUAACUUAGCGGCGUUUUCUGAUACAAACGUCACUAAAUUUAGUAGUGUUUUUUGAUGCAAAUGCUACUAAAUUUAUCGGCGUUUGUAUUUAAAAACGUCGCUAAAUUAUGAAUUUAGUGGCAUUUGCAUAAAAAAAAAGUCGCUAAAUUUAGCGACAUUUGUGUUUAAAAAUGCCACUAAAUAUAACGACAUUUUCUGAUACAAACGUCACUAAAUUCAGCAUUAAUGGCAUUUUUAAAUACAAACAUCGUUAAAUAAAAAAUUUUAUUUUUUAAUUUUUUUUAAUAUUUAUUAUUAUAAUUAAAUACAAAUUGUUAAAAGAAAUAAAAAUGAAUUUAAAUUUAUAAACAGAAUAUUAUAAAUAUUUAAAUAUCUAAAUACAUAAUUUGUUUCAAUAUGCAUGUAACACAAAGUUUAAUAUAUGUAAUAACAUUUCACUUUGCAUUUGUUUUCUUCUUGCCUAUCAAUGGACUCCAUAGAAGGAGUUACACUUGCUUUUAGUGGAGCCUACAAUGCCUAUUCAUCCUCUUGGGUUCCACUGCUAAAGAGAACAUUUCUCCAGGAACCUCAAAAUGUGUUGUCAGAAUUGCAUCACAGUACAUUUCAUUUAUCUUAUCCACAACUUCAUAUUCCAUUUUGAUUGAAAAAUGUCAUUGGGUAAGCUAUAAAAGGUAGCAUAAAAUUUGUAAUGCAAGAUAAAAUCAAGGAAGAUAUACAAGAUCUCAUUGAUCUACACCUAAUUGAUGCUAAAACAAGUGCUCAUAAAUUGGAAUUGAAAAGAUCAAUUAAGGAACCAAAAGUAAAAUUGAUCUGAAGAAUAAACAGUGCAAGAAAAUACAAGAAUUAACUAAAAACAACUAAAAUAUAAAGUGAAAUUCAACCAAAACUCAUUGAGUUGAUGAAAGAAAAAAUUAGGUCUAGAAGCUUAUAAUGAAAAUGAACUUGAAAUGAGCUAAGAAACAAUUCAUCAAUCAAUUUUGCUACAAAAUUCAACAAGAAAAUGAUAGCAAAAUAGAGAAAAACCAGCUUAAUGAACUAGCAACUCAAGUGAUACUAAAAACAGAGAAAAACAGAGCAUUAACAAUUAAAUCUAUCCAAACACCAAAUGAAUUCAUGAAAUAAAUGCAAUAAAUUAAAAAAUAAAAAGUAAACAUGUAAAACUAAGAAUGUAAAAUAUGAGAGAAUCAAAUCGAACAACUAGAAGGAGAGAGGAUCACCAUUCAUCAAGUUCUCAUGCAUGGAUUGCUUCUGCCUUUUGGAUUCACCCUUAACUUUGAAGAAUUACCUGUAUACGUACAAAUGGAAUUUGAGGUUGAGUUUUUACUGGAUUAUAGCAUUGUGAACUACGAAUCUAGGAAAAAAAAAUUGAAGUAAAUCAAGCUAGAAUUCACUGAGUCUUGAUUAAAAGACUAAAGAUAGGUCAGGUGCACAGUUUUGAAACCAGAUUUGAGCUGAAUGUGAAUUUUACAGAAUUUGAAAAGGAAAUCAUGAGAAUUUGUAAAUUUCAUUAUGAAAACCUUAAAGAACAUUCAAAAAAAGUGUAGGAAACCUAAAAUUGUAAUAAGAUUCAAUUAAGAAAACUAAAAAUGACAGCAGAUCAGGUUCUAACAAGAAAAAUGAAAGGUAAAAUAUCAAUGUUGUGCUCAAUGUUGUACCAGCAAAGAUUUAUGGAAAGCAUAAACUUCUUAUAAGACAACUGAUUAAUCAUAAAAUAUGGCUUAAAUAAGGUUCAGAAAAGUAUGAACAAGCAUCAACAAAUAUCAUACAGAUAUUCAUGUGAAACAAUGGCCUCCCAUCUCAAAACCCUUCAGCUUUUGACAAAUUAUUAAAAGAAGUUCUUUUUGUAAUAGAAUACAAGAUUCAAGUACAUUAUCAUGAAUUUAUACUUUCAUAUAGUUCUCUUGAUUUGAAAGAUCUUCUUUCAAAAUAAUUACAUUUCUCGCUUCCUCUCACACUCACCUAAGAACAUUUAGCACAUUAAAUCAAACAGCAAGCAAAGAUUUCUAUAUUAAACCAGCAGACAUAAAGCAAGAGUCAAGGCAAAGUAUUCACAUAUAGAUAUGAGAUAAGUGAGAGCAACCUUGUGCUAAGUACUUAAAGAGCUUUCCAGCAGCUGAAAAGAUUGAAAGAGCUAUCUCAGCAUCGUAAAGACUGGAAAACUCAUAAGCUUUCUUGAAAAGUCCUUAUCUCCUUUUUGAGAAAGUCACCUGCCUCAUUGCUACGUUGUCAAUCUUCUUGAUUUGAAUUUUCUUUCUCACCAUUCUCUUCUAAGAAAAAAGUUGGGGAAAAAAAGGAAAUUAUAAAAGAGAAAGAGGGGGUUUCAAUUUUGAAAAAAAAUUUUAGCCGCAUUAUUUCGUCACGAUAGUGGCGUUUACUUAAAAAAAUGUCACUAUUUACAAAGAGGAUUAUUCAAGGCAUUUUUUGAAAAAAAAAUGCCUUCAAUAAUCCCCUCAAAUUUUUUUGAGAGGACUAUUGAAGGCGUUUGUUUGACCAAAAAUACUUUCAAUAAUCUUCUUUAAUUUUUUAAAAAGGAUUAUUAAAGGCGUUUUCUGUAAAAAAAAAUACUUUCAAUAAUCCCCUUCAUUUUAUAUGAUAAGAUUAUUGAAGGCGUUUUUUAUCAAAAAAUACCUUUAAUAAUCCUCUCUAAUAUUUUGAAAAGCAUUAUUGAUGGCCUUUUUUUUGGCCAAAAACGCCUUCAAUAAUCCCCUGUAAUUUUUUUAGAGAGGAUUAUUGAAAGUGUUUUAUGUAAAAAUAAAAAACUUUAAUAAUCCUUUCCAAUUUUUUAUAAGGGAUUAUCAAAGGCGUUCCAAGCAAAAAACGCCUUAAAUAAUUUGCUCAUAAAAAAUAAAGAUAAUUAUUGAAGCCAUUUUUUGUUAGAAAUGCCUUCAAUAAUUUCGUUAAAAAAUUGUAGAGGAUUAUUAAAGGCAUUUUUGGUAAAAAAAAUUCCUUCAAUAAAUUUUCUUAUCAGUAAAUCUGUCAAAAGUAGAGUAGCAUUGUUGGUUAGAGCAUACGAUUGUUAAUCAUAAAGUUAUAGGUUUAUUCCCUCAUUUCAGCAUUUUUUAAGAUUUUUGAGAAAGAUUGAAUUUAUGACCUUAUGAUUAACAACCGUAUGCUUUAACCAUCAAUGCUACUCCAUUUUUCACAAAUUUAUUGACAAAGAUAUUUAUUGAAGCCGUUUUUGACAAAAAAAAAUACCUUCAAUAAUUUCUUUCAAUUUUUUUAGAAGGGAUUAUUGAAGGCAUUUUCUACAAAAAAAAACCUUCAGUAAUCCCUUUGAAUUUUUAUAAGGGAUUAUUGAAGGUGUUUUAGGCAAAAAACGCCUUGAAUAAUCUGCUCAUAAAAAAUAGAGGCAUUUAUUAAAGGCGUUUUCUACUAAAAACGCCUUUUACAAUUUUCCUAAAAAAUUGUAAAAGAUUAUUAAAGACGUUUUUGGUAAAAAAUACCUUCAAUAAAGUUUCUUGUCAAUAAAUUUAUCAAAAAUAGAGUAGUACUGUCGAUUAGAGCAAAUGGUUGUUAAUCAUAAGGUUGUAGGUUCGAUCUCUUUUUUCAGCAUUUUUUAAGUUUUUGGUCAGAAAUACUUUCAAUAAUUCUCCUAAAAAUUUGAAGUCGAAUAUUAAAGGCAUUUUUGGUCAAAAACGCCUUUAAUAAUCCCUUGACAAAUUCAAAAAAUACUAAAAGAAGGGAUCGAACCUAUUAACUUAUAAUUAAUAACCGUAUACUCUAACUAUCAAUGCUACUCCAUUUUUCACAAAGUUAUUGACAAGGAGAUUUAUUGAAGGCGUUUUUUACAAAAAAUUCUUUCAAUAAUCCUCUACAGUUUUUUUAAGAGAUUUAUUGAAGGCAUAUCUAGCAGAAAAUGCAUUUAAUAAUCACUUUUAUUUUUUAUGAACAAAUUAUUCAAAGCGUUUGUUGCCUGAAACGCCUUUAAUAAUCACUCCAAUUUUAGUAGAUAGGAUUAUUCAAGGCAUUUUAGUCAAUAAACGCCGUUAAUUUUUGUCUUUAAUGGCGUUUAUAUGUAUAAACACCGUUAUUUGAAUAUUUAGUGACGUUUGGAUAAUAAACGCCUGAAGUUUUACAAAAACACGAAAGCUAACGGCAUUUCUAAAUGAAAGGCCACUACAAAACUGUCGUUAAUAUGCCAUUUUGCUAUAGUGGUACCUAGAGCUUAACGUGAUUAGCUAAAUAUAUGUUAGGACAGUCUUCAAGAUUUGCUCUACCCUUUAGCUCAUUCAUCACUUUUUUAGAGAUUAUGUCGAGGUUACACAGAGUAUAUAUAGGGACCUCAACAAGUUUGUCUUGCUCUAUAAGACUCUUCCCCUUGCCAUCAUGUUUUUUAGUUAAAGUACUCUCUUUCUCUUAUUCUUCUUCAAAACCCUCAUCGUCAGAAGCAUCUGACUCUAGAGUAAAAUAUGGAUCUUGAGAAAAAAUAAUGGAUGAAAGUAGCUUGAUCUUAAAAAAAGAGGGACAAGUUGAAGACCCCUUAGGAGAGGAUGAGAUGUCAAGAAAAACAAAUUGAAGGAAAAGAUAAAAGUGGUAUGAAGUGGAAAAGAUUGAACCCUAAAAGGGAAAAUACCUGAAGAGAAAGAAAGAUCAAUAAUAGAAGAUAAACCAACCUAAGAGAUGGGGAAAAUAAUUAGAUUUCAAAGUUCAAAGUUGAUUUGAGCACACAACUUUUCAAUGCUCAAAACUCGCUCGUCUUUUGCCUAAGCAUUCUCUUUAUUGCAUUGCUGCCCUUCCUCAAACAUCAAAUUGAACUAAUAAGCUAUCUUUGUAUAGUUACGACCUCUAAUAACAAAAAGGAUCAAAUCACCAUAUUACUACUCUUGCUAACCUCCUAUUGGCUCUACCUUAUAGCUUUUAGUCUCUUCAAAACUCAUACUAUAAGACAUGAUUAAAAGUACAUACUAAAGUAAGCAUAGAAAAAAACUUCGAAAGCAAGAAAGUUACAGAAAUAAAAAAUUUUAGGUCAAAUUGAGAACAAAGAAAGUGAAAGAUAGAAAACUGAAGCCUCAUAAGCCUUUUUAUAUAGAUGCGCUUCAGUCUAGAAGAGUGGCAUGAUCCUCACCACAUGUUAGUGCAUGGGUGAGUAGACAUUUUUUCAUCUUUUUACUUUAAAUUCCCUAUUCAAAUCGUCUCUUAUUCAUUUAAUGUUAUUAGACUAGCCUAAUCGGAUGAACUCUAGAUCGAACUAAUCAAACCAAAUAAUUGUCAAGGGUAAACUAAGAGCCCGAUUCACUAUCAAGGUUCAAAAAGAAGGCUUAUGUCUAAAUUUUUAAAAUAAAACACAAGUCUCACCACAGCCUUACAAAUUUCAGCAAUAAUCUUGAAUCACCCCAGACAAUUAUCAUUUCAGUAAUCUUUAAAUCAAUUAUGCACUCAUCUCAAGACAAAUGCACGAGAUUGGAUAACCAUUAGGUCAAACGGUGGUUUAAAUUUAGUCAUCAUCUUAAAUCGACCUUCCUUACAACAUCAAUUUUUANNNNNNNNNNNNNNNNNNNNNNNNNNNNNNNNNNNNNNNNNNNNNNNNNNNNNNNNNNNNNNNNNNNNNNNNNNNNNNNNNNNNNNNNNNNNNNNNNNNNNNNNNNNNNNNNNNNNNNNNNNNNNNNNNNNNNNNNNNNNNNNNNNNNNNNNNNNNNNNNNNNNNNNNNNNNNNNNNNNNNNNNNNNNNNNNNNNNNNNNNNNNNNNNNNNNNNNNNNNNNNNNNNNNNNNNNNNNNNNNNNNNNNNNNNNNNNNNNNNNNNNNNNNNNNNNNNNNNNNNNNNNNNNNNNNNNNNNNNNNNNNNNNNNNNNNNNNNNNNNNNNNNNNNNNNNNNNNNNNNNNNNNNNNNNNNNNNNNNNNNNNNNNNNNNNNNNNNNNNNNNNNNNNNNNNNNNNNNNNNNNNNNNNNNNNNNNNNNNNNNNNNNNNNNNNNNNNNNNNNNNNNNNNNNNNNNNNNNNNNNNNNNNNNNNNNNNNNNNNNNNNNNNNNNNNNNNNNNNNNNNNNNNNNNNNNNNNNNNNNNNNNNNNNNNNNNNNNNNNNNNNNNNNNNNNNNNNNNNNNNNNNNNNNNNNNNNNNNNNNNNNNNNNNNNNNNNNNNNNNNNNNNNNNNNNNNNNNNNNNNNNNNNNNNNNNNNNNNNNNNNNNNNNNNNNNNNNNNNNNNNNNNNNNNNNNNNNNNNNNNNNNNNNNNNNNNNNNNNNNNNNNNNNNNNNNNNNNNNNNNNNNNNNNNNNNNNNNNNNNNNNNNNNNNNNNNNNNNNNNNNNNNNNNNNNNNNNNNNNNNNNNNNNNNNNNNNNNNNNNNNNNNNNNNNNNNNNNNNNNNNNNNNNNNNNNNNNNNNNNNNNNNNNNNNNNNNNNNNNNNNNNNNNNNNNNNNNNNNNNNNNNNNNNNNNNNNNNNNNNNNNNNNNNNNNNNNNNNNNNNNNNNNNNNNNNNNNNNNNNNNNNNNNNNNNNNNNNNNNNNNNNNNNNNNNNNNNNNNNNNNNNNNNNNNNNNNNNNNNNUGAAAGAAAUCCAAAAAGGACUAUGUGAAAAACACCUCAGACCUCAACCUUUGGCUUAUAAAGUGCUAAAGCAGGGUAAUUGUUAGCCUACUAUCAAGAGAGAUGCAACCAAACUAGUGAAAAAAUGUGACAAAUGUCAAAGGUUUGCCUAUGUGUAACAUUUCCUUUCGAUCGAGCUCACUCUUUUCAUUAGUCCGUGGCCAUUCAUGUAGUGGAUGAUUGGUGUCCUUGAACCAUUCACCCUAGCCAUAGGUUAGAGGAGAUUUGUCUUAGUGACAAUAGAUUACUUCACAAAAUGAUUGGUAGCCAAAGCCUUAGCCACUACCAUGGAAGUGCAAGUUGAAAAGUUUGUGUGGAAAAGCAUAGUCUGCAGAUUCAAGCUACCUCAGUCCAUAAUAAUAGACAAUGACAAAUAAUUUGAUAAUCUGAUGUUCAAAGAAUGGUGCUCAAAUCUUCACAUCAACCUCAAGUUCAUGUUGGUUACCCACCCUUAGUUCAACGGGUAAGCCAAAGCUACAAAUAAGACAAUACUAAAACUUUGAAAAAGAGGCUCAAUGCAGCAAAAGAAAAAUAGGCUGAUGAGUUAUUAGAAGUUUUGUGGGCCUUGAAGACAACCACAAAGGUCCUUACUGGUGAAACCCCAUUUCAUUUGGCUUUUGAAACAGAAGUUAUAGUGCCGAUUGAGAUUGACCUACCGAGCUUAAGAGUUGAAUUAGCAUCAGAAGAAAAAAAAAUAGACACUUAAGGCUGACUUGGACCUCACUGAAGAACAAAAAGACAUAGCUUUGACUCAAAUUGUAGCCUACCAUCAAAAGGUAGCUAAUUAUUAUAAUAAGAGGUCUAGCAUAUACACAUCAAGGAAGAUGACUUGGUACUUAAAAAAGUCGAAGCUUCAAGGAUUGAUGAUCGAUGUGGCAAGUUAGCCCUAAUAUGGAAGGACCAUAUAUUGUAAAAGAGGUUAUCCACGAUACAACCUACAAAUUAAAAAAUCUAAACAACGACAUCAUCCCAAGGACAUAGAAUGCAAACAACUUAAAGGUUUUAUUAUCAGUAGCUCAGUGUAAAUCGAGCUCACACUUGUACUGUUUUAUGAAUAGCACUGCCACCCCAAGUAUAUGAAAUUCAAAUCAACUUGAUUACUAGUAGAUCAAAGCAAAUUGAGCUUACACUUGUGUUAUUUUAUCUUAAGAAUAUGAAAUGCAAUUAAAGGUUUAUUAUCAUUAGAUCAGUUUUAACUGAGCUCACAUAUGAAAUUAUUUUUAGUAAACUUGUCUACAAGUGAUUUAAAGUCAUUUAAAGAAAUCUGACUUGAAACUCAUAAUUACAUUAAUAUGAUCUAAAGUAAUUAUGCAAGUCUACAAUCUAAUUAUCUAUCUUUGGAUCGGUAAAUCGUUCUCGAACUAAUGCAAAUAAAGAAAAAACAACAGUAAAAUCGAGCUGUAACUUAAAAAUUUUCCUUUCUAUUCUGAUGCAACUCAUUAUAUUAAUUGGAGUAUGGGAGGUCUUCAUAAAAACCUGAUUUCAAAAUUUUACAAAAAGUUCAUAAAAGGUUACAAAAUAAAAACAAAAAUCAUUAAAUUAUGCAUCAAUAGUGGCAGCAGCGGAAGGAGUACCCUUACCAGUGGUAGUUGGAGAAAUGCACUCAUCAGCAGUAGUGGGAAGAAGGACCUUAACUUCAACAACCUCUACUUCUUCCUCUUUUAUUCCUAUGACAGUCUCUAACUUUUCUCUAAGCUUGAUCUUUCUCAUUUUCUUCUUUUUUUUAUUUUCUUUUUCAUGUUAUUUAGGUUGAUUUGGAACAAACCUUAAUCUGAUAUUCUUGAUAUCAAUAUCAAAGAGGUUGAGGUUGAAAGUGGAGAAUUUGAAUUACACCUAUUCAUUGGCUAGUUAUAAAGCAUCAAGAAUGUUCUUCUUGGAGAACUCUACUUCACCCAAAGAUACUCAUUGAAGGUUUUAUACUUUUUUUCAGCCUUAAUCUAUAGGUUCUCUUCCCUUUUGCCUCAAGCAUCCAACUCAGACCUCAACCUCGUAAUUUUAGCCAAGUAUCAUUUAGUUUUAGCUCAACUUGUUCCUUCAUCAAUUUGGUUGAGGCUUUGUCUAAUGAGACGACCUUCAGCUUUGCUACCAAGUUAUCUUUUUUUUUCUCAACUUUGUCUCCUUUUUGUGGGAUGCAGUAAAGCUUGAUCUGACGUUGCCUAGUGCUUUCAAGCUCUUUUGUGCUUUUCAAAAAAGGAAAUGAUAUCUCUCUCAACUCUUAGCAUAUGCCUCAUUACAAGAUAAGCAUAAUGAAGAGUUCGAUUGUUAUUCUUCAUGAGCUGAGGUGGAAACUUUUUUUGGACUGCAAGAAAAGAUCUUAAACUUAGAAAAAUAAAAAAAAUAGUAUAAAAAAAACAAGUAGAGGUUAGGAGAUACUCAUCAAGGGAAAGAACUACGACUUUGCGAAACCUCUUAGCAACAUUGGGGUUGGAGAUUGGAUCAUUUGUCAGAGCAAACUCCAACCCCACUGUUAUUCUUUUUGAGCUAGGUUUUAGCACACUAGUUGGGGUUCUUAAGAGGAGUGGAUAACACCUUCACCCAUGAUCUUUUGUCAUGAAGGAUGGUACUUGUGCUGAUAUGGAGUAUAGGUCUUGACCUACCUUAGCUUUUAAUUUUUGACCUAAGGGAAUACGAGGUAUGGCCGUGCUGACUACUUUGUCUCUCUUAUAUAACGGGGCCUGGAGUUGAAUUUUUUCCCUUUCCUUCUUAGGCCUUAGGGCAUAUUGAUAUAGGGUGACAUUAAAGUCUUCUUUAGCUUUAGCUAUAUCUGUAAAAUUAAGCUAAUAGUUAGUUAAAAAAUUAACUUAAAACAAAACUUGACAAGAUUACCUUAAAUCUACCCUAAUUUUUGUACUAUUUAUUACUUUUAGGGAGGUCAACCUGUGAGCAUUGAUAACGAGCUCUCCUUAUGUGUAAAAUCUACAAUUUUAUCUCGAUCUGACAAAUCAAAUGAAGAAAAAGGCCAUUAGUGCAUCCACAAAGGAAUGGAGUGUACUCUUUAUUUUCUAAGCCUCAAUCUCGGGCUUACUAUCUUUAUUGAGCUUCUAUUUUGCAAGGCAUAGGAAGAGCAACUACCAGUUCUUUAUUGAACUCGGGCAAUCGAUCAAAAUCUUUUUGUUUGGUCGAGUUGUAAUAUAAAACUACCACUAUCACUAAGAUAUUUUUUAAGAGAAAAGAACUCCUUGAUAGAUGGAGACAAUGAAGAAUAUUUAAAUGUUGACAAAGAAUAAUAAAAGCGACUAUGUACCGAGCAACAUUUGGGAUGAGCUGAGUGAUGGUUAAAUUAUAAAAAUUAAAAAUUGAAAUGAAUAAAAGAUGAAGUGUAAACUUUAGAUCGAUGAGGAAUGAAUCCCAGUAUACAUAGAGCUGAUAUGGCUCUACUUAUUAGUGAACUCGGUUUGAAAAACUUAAUGUUAUUAUACUAUACCCCUCUUUGAGAAAAGGGAAAGUGGUACACUACAGGUGUUUUGGUUUUUAGUGGCAUUUUUUUUUACUGUUUAGUGGCAUUUAUUAACACCACGAUAAAGUUUGUGGCGGUUGUGAAAAAUGCCACGCAGAAUGCCGCCUAUUCACACUUCACGAAAAAUAGUGGCGUUUUUAAAAAAAUGCCUCUAACUUAGCGGCGUUUUCUGAUACAAACGUCACUAAAUUUAGUAGUGUUUUUUGAUGCAAAUGCUACUAAAUUUAUCGGCUUUUGUAUUUAAAAACGUCGCUAAAUUAUGAAUUUAGUGGCAUUUGCAUAAAAAAAAGUCGCUAAAUUUAGCGACAUUUGUGUUUAAAAAUGCCACUAAAUAUAACGACAUUUUCUGAUACAAACGUCACUAAAUUCAGCAUGUAAUGGCAUUUUUAAAUACAAACAUCGUUAAAUAAAAAAUUUUAUUUUUAAAAUUUUAUUUUUAAUAUUUAUUAUUAUAAUUAAAUACAAAUUGUUAAAAGAAAUAAAAAUGAAUUUAAAUUCAUAAACCGAAUAUUAUAAAUAUUUAAAUAUCUAAAUACAUAAUUUGUUUCAAUAUGCAUGUAACACAAAGUUUAAUAUAUGUAAUAACAUUCCACUUUGCAUUUGUUUUCUUCUUGCCUAUCAACGGACUCCAUAGAAGGAGUUACACUUGCUUUUAGUGGAGCCUACAAUGCCUAUUCAUCCUCUUGGGUUCCACUGCUAAAGAGAACAUUUCUCCAGGAACCUCAAAAUGUGUUGUCAGAAUUGCAUCACAGUACAUUUCAUUUAUCUUAUCCACAACUUCAUAUUCCAUCCUGAUUGAAAAAUGUCAUUGGGUAAGCUAUAAAAAGUAGCAUAAAAUUUGUAAUGCAAGAUAAAAUCAAGGAAGAUAUACAAGAUCUCAUUGAUCUACACCUAAUUGAUGCUAAAACAAGUGCUCAUAAAUUGGAAUUGAAAAGAUCAAUUAAGGAACCAAAAGUAAAAUUGAUUUGAAGAAUAAACAGUGCAAGAAAAUACAAGAAUUAACUAAAAACAACUAAAAUAUAAAGUGAAAUUCAACCAAAACUCAUUGAGUUGAUGAAAGAAAAAAUUAGGUCUAGAAGCUUAUAAUGAAAAUGAACUUGAAAUGAGCUAAGAAACAAUUCAUCAAUCAAUUUUGCUACAAAAUUCAACAAGAAAAUGAUAGCAAAAUAGAGAAAAACCAGCUUAAUGAACUAGCAACUCAAGUGAUACUAAAAACAGAGAAAAACAGAGCAUUAACAAUUAAAUCUAUCCAAACACCAAAUGAAUUCAUGAAAUAAAUGCAAUAAAUUAAAAAAUAAAAAGUAAACAUGUAAAACUAAGAAUGUAAAAUAUGAGAGAAUCAAAUCGAACAACUAGAAGGAGAGAGGAUCACCAUUCAUCAAGUUCUCAUGCAUGGAUUGCUUCUGCCUUUUGGAUUCACCCUUAACUUUGAAGAAUUACCUGUAUACGUACAAAUGGAAUUUGAGGUUGAGUUUUUACUGGAUUAUAGCAUUGUGAACUACGAAUCUAGGAAAAAAAAUUGAAGUAAAUCAAGCUAGAAUUCACUGAGUCUUGAUUAAAAGACUAAAGAUAGGUCAGGUGCACAGUUUUGAAACCAGAUUUGAGUUCAAUGUGAAUUUUACAGAAUUUGAAAAGGAAAUCAUGAGAAUUUGUAAAUUUCAUUAUGAAAACCUUAAAGAACAUUCAAAAAAAGUGUAGGAAACCUAAAAUUGUAACAAGAUUCAAUUAAGAAAACUAAAAAUGACAGCAGAUCAGGUUCUAACAAGAAAAAUGAAAGGUAAAAUAUCAAUGUUGUGCUCAAUGUUGUACCAGCAAAGAUAUAUGGAAAGCAUAAACUUCUUAUAAGACAACUGAUUAAUCAUAAAAUAUGGCUUAAAUAAGGUUCAGAAAAGUAUGAACAAGCAUCAACAAAUAUCAUACAGAUAUUCAUGUGAAACAAUGGCCUCCCAUCUCAAAACCCCUCAGCUUUUGACAAAUUAUUAAAAGAAGUUCUUUUUGUAAUAGAAUACAAGAUUCAAGUACAUUAUCAUGAAUUUAUACUUUCAUAUAGUUCUCUUGAUUUGAAAGAUCUUCUUUCAAAAUAAUUACAUUUCUCGCUUCCUCUCACACUCACCUAAGAACAUUUAGCACAUUAAAUCAAACAGCAAGCAAAGAUUUCUAUAUUAAACCAGCAGACAUAAAGCAAGAGUCAAGGCAAAGUAUUCACAUAUAGAUAUGAGAUAAGUGAGAGCAACCUUGUGCUGAGUACUCAAAGAGCUUUCCAGCAGCUGAAAAGAUUGAAAGAGCUAUCUCAGCAUCAUAAAGACUGGAAAACUCAUAAGCUUUCUUGAAAAGUACUUAUCUCCUUUUUGAGAAAGUCACCUGCCUCGUUGCUACGUUGUCAAUCUUCUUGAUUUGAAUUUUCUUUCUCACCAUUCUCUUUCAAGAAAAAAGUUAGGGAAAAAAAAGAAAUUAUAGAGGAGAAAGAGAGGGUUUCAAUUUUGAAAAAAAAAAUUUAGCCACAUUAUUUCAUCACGAUAGCGACGUUUACUUAAAAAAAUGUCACUAUUUACAAAGAGGAUUAUUGAAGGUAUUUUUUGAAAAAAAAUGCCUUCAAUAAUCCCCUUCAAUUUUUUUGAGGGGACUAUUGAAGUCAUUUGUUUUACCAAAAGUACUUUCAAUAAUCUCUUCUAAUUUUUUAAAAGGGAUUAUUAAAGGCGUUUUCUGUAAAAAAAUACUUUCAAUAAUCCCCUUCAUUUUAUAUGAAAAGAUUAUUGAAGGCAUUUUUUAUCAAAAAAUACCUUCAAUAAUCCUCUCUAAUAUUUUGAAAAGGAUUAUUGAUGACCUUUUUUUUAACCAAAAACGCCUUCAAUAAUCCCUUGUAAUUUUUUUAGAGAGGAUUAUUAAAGGUGUUUUAUGUAAAAAAAAAACUUUUAAUAAUCUCUGCUAAUUUUUUAUAAAAGAUUAUUGAAGGCGUUUCAGGCAAAAAACACCUUGAAUAAUUUGCUUAUAAAAAAUAAAGAUAAUUAUUAAAGCCGUUUUUUGCUAGAAAUGCUUUCAAUAAUUUCGUUAAAAAAUUGCAGAGGAUUAUUAAAGGUGUUUUUGAUAAAAAAAUGCCUUCAAUAAAUUUUCUUAUCAGUAAAUCUGUCAAAAAUAAAGUAGUAUUAUUGGUUAGAGCAUACGAUUGUUAAUCAUAAAGUUGUAAGUUUAUUCCCUCAUUUCAGCAUUUUUUAAGAUUUUUGAGAAAAAUCGAAUUUAUAACCUUAUGAUUAACAACUGUAUGCUCUAACCAUCAAUGCUACUCCAUUUUUCACAAAUUUAUUGACAAAGAUAUUUAUUGAAGCCGUUUUUGACAAAAAAAAUACCUUCAAUAAUUUCUUUCAAUUUUUUUAGAAGGGAUUAUUGAAUGUAUUUUCUACAAAAAAAAACCUUCAGUAAUUCCUUUGAAUUUUUAUAAGGGAUUAUUAAAGGUGUUUUACGCAAAAAAAAAUGCCUUGAAUAAUCUGCUCAUAAAAAAUAAAGGUGAUUAUUAAAAGCGUUUUCUACUAGAAACGCCUUCAAUAAUUUUGCUAAAAAAUUGUAAAAGAUCAUUAAAGGCGUUUUUGGUCAAAAAUGCCUUCAAUAAAGUUUCUUGUCAAUAAAUUUAUCAAAAAUGGAGUAAUGCUGUCGAUUAAAGCAUAUGGCUGUUAAUCAUAAGGUUGAAGGUUCGAUCUCUUUUUUCAACAUUUUUUAGGUUUUUGGUCAGAAAUGCCUUCAAUAAUUCUCCUAAAAAAUUAAAGUCGAAUAUUAAAGGCAAUUUUUGUCAAAAACGCCUUUAAUAAUCUCUUGACAAAUUCAAAAAAUGUUGAAGGAAAGGAUCGAAUCUAUGAAGUUAUAAUUAAUAACCGUAUACUCUAACUAUCAAUGCUACUCCAUUUUUCACAAAUUUAUUGACAAGGAGAUUUAUUGAAGGCAUUUUUUACAAAAAAAUACCUUCAAUAAUCCUCUACAAUUUUUUUAAGAGAUUUAUUGAAGGCAUUUCUAACAGAAAAUGCAUUUAAUAAUCACUUUUAUUUUUUAUGAACAAAUUAUUCAAAGCGUUCGUUGCCUGAAACGCCUUUAAAAUCACUCCAAUUUUAGCAAAUAGGAUUAUUCAAGGCGUUUUAGUCAAUAAACGCCGUUAAGUUUUGUCUUUAAUGGCGUUUAUAUGUAUAAACACCGUUAUUUGAAUAUUUAGUGACGUUUGGAUAAUAAACGCCUGAAGUUUUAUAAAAACACAGAAGUUAACGGCAUUUCUAAAUGAAAGGCCACUACAAAACUUUCGCUAAUAUGCCAUUUUGUUGUAGUGGUACCUAGAGUUUAACGUGAUUAGCUGAAUAUAUGUUGGGACAGUCUUCAAGAUUUGCUCUACCUUUUAGCUCACUCAUCACUUUUUUAGGGAUUAUGUCGAGGUUACACAGAGUAUAUAUAAGGACUUCAACAAGUUCGUCUUGCUCUAUAAGACUCUUCCCCUCGCCAUCACUUUUUUUAGUUAAAAUACUCUUUUUUUCUUAUUCUUCUUCAAAACCCUCAUCGUCAAAAGCAUCUGACUCUAGAGUAAAAGAUGGAUCUUGAGAAAAAAUAGUGGAUGAAAGUAGCUUGAUCCUAAAUAAAGAGGGCCAAGUUGAAGACCCCUUAGGAGAGGAUGAGAUGUCAAGAAAAACAAAUUGAAGGAAAAGAUAAAAGUGGUAUGAGGUGGAAAAGAUUGAACCCCAGAAGAGAAAAUACCUGAAGAGAAAGAAAGAUCAAUAUAGAAGAUAAACCAACCUAAGAGAUGGGGAAAAUAAUUGGAUUUCAAAGUUCAAAGUUGAUUUGAACGCACAACUUUUCAAUGCUCAAAACUCACUCGUCUUUUGCCUAAGCAUUCUCUUUAUUGCAUUGCUGCCCUUCCUCAAACAUCAAAUUGAACUAAUAAGCUAUCUUUGUAUAGUUACGACCUCUAAUAACAAAAAGGAUCAAAUCAUCAUAUUAUUGCUCUUGCUGACCUCCUAUUGCCUCUACCUUAUAGCUUUUAGUCUCUUCAAAACUCAUACUAUAAGACAUGAUUAAAAGUACAUACUAAAGUAAGCAUAGAAAAAACUUUGAAAGCAAGAAAGUUACAGAUAGAAAAAAUUUUAGGUCAAAUCGAGAGCAAAAAAAGUGAAAGAUAAAAAACUGAAGCCCCAUAAGCCUUUUUAUAUAGAUGCUCUUCAGUCUAGGAGAGUGGCAUGAUCCUCACCACAUGUUAGUGCAUGGGUGCGUAGACAUUUUUUCAUUUUUUUGCUUUAAAUUCCCUAUUCAAAUCAUCUCUUUAUUCAUUUAAUGUUAUCAGACUGGCCUAAUCGGAUGAACUCUAGAUCGAAUUAGUCGAACCAAAUAAUUGUUAGAGGUAAACUAAGAGCCCGAUUUACUAUCAAGGUUCAAAAAGAAGGCUUAUGUCUAAAUUUUUAAAAUAAAACACAAGUCUUGCCAUAGCCUUACAAAUUUCAGCAAUAAUCUUGAAUCACCCCAGAUAAUUAUCAUUUCAAUAAUCUUUAAAUCAAUUAUGCACUCAUCUCAAAACAAAUGCACGAGAUUGGAUAACCAUUAGGUUAGACGGUGGCUUAAAUUUAGUCAUCAUCUUAAAUCGACCUUCCUUACAACAUCAAUUUUUAACAAAAUAUGUAGCCAUUUGCCCCACACCGGGGAUGUUGAUAAAAAAUUUGGUGAUCUAAUACUCAAAAAGCUUGAUGGGGGAUAGAAUAUUAGAGGCAUAUAAUCGUUAAAAAGGCAUAUUGGUCUUUUUUCCCUUCUUUGUCUUCAGCAGACAACUUGGGUUACCUUGGUCAUUUGUGUUGACUUGACAUGUUAGAUAGUUUGACACUUCUAAUGCUACCUCAGCUUGGCCUUGUCCUAAUUGUCCUUUCUUUAUCCCUCUCAGCUUACCUAUAAAUAUGAAAAUUCAGGCCCAUGAAACCAAGUUCAUCUAACUUAUACCUUUAUUUCAUUUUUACUUUUUCACAUCUUUUUCGACCUGAUCCUUAUUGACUUACGCAUUUGUGUGCAAACGCAGGGAACACCCCUGUCUUUGCCUUUACCAUUCUUUUCAUUUGCCUUUAUAAAGAUACCCUCAGGUUGUAGUUCGGCACAAACAGAUAUGAUCAAAUUUCUAGCUUCAAUGACAUGAGGCUCCCUAAAGCUACUAUUUUUGCUUGUAGAACCACUCCCAGUUAUUGUAGAAAUGCUUCCAUUGGUGUUAUUGGCAACAACCUUAACCACAUUAUUUGAAUUAGAUAGAUACUUUAAGUGGAUUAAUAGGGAAGUUAAAGCCAACUUAUUGUUUUUAUCAUUUUAUAACAAUAGAUGGAUAGAUGAAUGACAAGAAAUGUAAGAACCGCAAAACUUGUAAUAGGAGCAACUAUUGAAACAAAUGUGUUUCUUCUUAAACCUUUUGUUUUUGUUAAUUCCAUGGAAGAAUAAUGGGAUUAACACCUAAACCUUUUGAUGUGGGUUAAAAAUUUAGGGAUUUUUUGUUGCGUGAAGAAUUUAUUCAGCUUUUAGGAUUUUAAUUGUUUUUUUUUUAUUUUUAUAGUUUUUUUUGUUAAUGAUAUUAAGAUAUUAUUAAGUUUAGGAAAAAUUUGUGUUAAUGCUAAUAUAGCUUUUUAGUAGUCCACAAGGCCAAAAUUUGUAAUACACAGUAGCAUUAAUAAUGUUAAAAGCCAAUAAAAAUAUCAUGUCAGUAGCCACGUUAGCUAUUUAAAGGAUAAAAUUUAACACUGUUAACAAUUGAACUGAAAUUUUUAAAAAAUAAUAUUAUAAGGAUUAAAUUCUUUUAAAUAAUAUUAAAUGGACUGAAUUCUAAAAUAUCGAUAAGUAUAUGGACCUAUAUCAUAUUUUUACCUAAAAAAAUAAAAAUGGGAACCCAAACUGCAUAUAUCUUUAGCUAAUGUCAGUGCAUGAUGCCAUAAUGCCAUUCUUUGACCAAGAAAAAAGCAAAAUACAAUUGUGGAAGCAAAGAGAAUAGAAGAACAAAAGCAUGAUCAUGCAAAAUCAUUCAAAAAUAUUUUCAUCUCUUAAUUUUCCUUUUUGAGAGUAUUGUAAUUUUGUUCUAGCUUUGUCUUUUCAAAGCUAAAACUAUUUUGAUAAUUGAUAUUCUAUAUCUUAAUAUUUAUUUUUUAUAAAAGUUUCAAAACUUUUAUAUUUUAACUUAAUAUAAGAGUUUACAUCUAUAAGUAGAUUUCAAAUAUAAUUAUGUUUUUAUAGUCUAUUUUUAAGACUUUUUAUGUCACUUCAUAAAUAUUUAUACGAAUCUAUUUCAUCAUGGGCACUAUUAAUAAUUUUUUUAACACGAACAAAAUUAUUUCCACCACUCAAAUGGAUCAAAUAGCAUUCCGUUUGCUAUUAUUAAAGUUAUCAUAUUCAUAAGAUCUUUGAAUCACUCAUAACUUCCAAAGUAAAUAUACUUUAAAAUUUUCACUAUAUUACAAAACUUUUAAUAAAACCAUAGAUAAUAAUCAUUUUUACAAUCCAUGAAUUAGACCAUAUAUAUAACAAAAAAUUACCACAACGUGAUCAAGAUUGUGGCAUCAAUUUUAACUUAUGGCUAUUCUAAGCCAACCAUACUAAUCCAAAUCAUACCUACAAAUCAUGUAGAUUUGGCUAUUGAAGUUAUCUCAUUUAUAGUGAUGGCUUUUAGUGAAAACCAACUAUCUCAAAUAUUGUCAUGAAUUUCCAAUGUAUAUAUUAAUUGUUUAAUGGUCAAUUCCAAGUUCAUGAUUAUUGAAAUCUCUAAACUUGAUUUCAAAAUUUUAUGAGAACUUUAUUUCUCCACUAUUGUGCAACCUAUAUAUCUAUGUUAUUUACCACCUUUAAUUGGUCAUAAUAUUUCGGGUAUAUAAUAAAUUCAAACUUUACUCAUAGGACCAAUAUGCUUAUGUAAAAUAAAAGUCCAUAAUAUAGUUAACUCCAAUUUUAAAAACUUUCGCAAUCAUUUUGUGAUCAAUAUGUUCAUAUCUAGAUUACCAUAUCAACGCAAGUCAUGAAAUAUGAAUCCAAAGAAUCAUUUUCAUAAAAUAUCAUAAACAAUAAUUAUAAUAUGAGUUCUACUCAUAUUUCAUUUAAAAACUCGUAAUGAAUUCAUAUUGGUUAAAUAAUUGAUUGGCUAAUUCCAAAGCUUACGGUUUUCACAAACUAAAAUUAUUAUCUAAUCCUAUAUGUUCAUAUGGUGUAUAACCAAUCACAUCCUUGUCAUUAUCAUGAAAUUAUUGAAAAGCUCACAAACUUGUGCACUUUUCAUUUUAACAGCUUACAAAAGGCCUUUUUUUUAGUAUAAGAAGUAAAAAUAUCUUCAUUGUCUUUAACAAAUAAUGUAUUAAUUGGAUGAAUGCAUUCUAUCUCCAUAGCCUCUAUCUUUCUUAUAUGUAUAAAAAAAAAAUUAAAUCUCAUUCAAUUCAUUUUCUUAAUAUAUGGCAAACUAUACUAAUGUUCUCCAUGUCAUCAGAAAAUGGAACCAAAUACAUACAUGUAUUGGUGCCUUUAGAACAUUGAAUUUGCAUGUUCUUUUCUAAUUCAUAAACAUGGCUAAUUAAACAUUGAUGAGCAUCCUUUAAAAUGCUAGUAAUCAACAAAUGCUUCAAUAUUUUUAAUGACAUGCCUUUUCUUUUAAUUAAUAUCCCAUAUGCGAAAAGCAACAAUGCUUUUGUGUACCCAUUGAUUAAUUCCUUGACGACUAUUUAUAAUUUCCAUUUUGUGAUUGUUUACUUCUAGUAUAAUACACUUAGUAGUUAAAUAAAUGUCACACUACCCAUGUUUAUGAUAAUAACAAUUAUUUGGUUUAUUAUCCACCAAUUAAUCCAUGAUACAUCAAAUCUUAAUAAUAAUUAUUCAUAUACAUCAAUUUAAUUUUAAUUGAUUUCAUGAAAAUUGAGCACCUGUCAAAAUUUGAACUAAUAAUAAAUUAAAAAAAUCAAACCUUUGAUUUAUAAAACGACCAACAAAGAUAUAACCAUACAAAUAGUUUAACUCAAUUUAUUAUCUUAAUUUUAGUACCAUAAUUGAAAAAUAAAACUAAUCUUACAACCAAAUUUUAUUUUCUGUAUAUAUUCUCUACUUACAUCCCAUUUUUUAUGAAAAUUAACAUUUUGGUCCAUAGAAAGAUUAAUUUUUUGACACUUUGAGCCUUUUCUAAUAUUGAUCUACAAAUAAUGCCAAUUUCUUUUCCAUAUAUCUUCCUCAUGUGAAAUAUAAAUUUCUCACAAUUGUCUUUAAAUUAUUAAAAAAUAAAUAAGAGAAGAGAAAUAAUAGAAAAAUUUUUUGACUUUGAGGCAUGAAGAAACCUUUCUUAAAGGCAAUUAUGCCUUUAAGAUACAAUAAAACCUCAAACUUUCUAAUCAAAAGUAGUGAAAAUGAUUAUACUGAAAUAUUUAUUUAUAAUAAAUAAAUAAAUAUAAACUUUUAUUCAUAUAGUUAUAACAUUUUGUAUAAUCAUUACUUUUAUGAACAAUAAUAUAUUUAUAUUCAAAUAGUCAUAAUCAUUUGUUAAAUAAUAAUUGUUUUGGUUCAAACAAAAUUAUUUAAAAUAUAAAUAAAAUGAAUACAAAAAUUAACUUUCAUCAAUAAUUAAAUCUUUUUAUCCGAUGUGAGAUUCACCACAUUCUAAACUAUCAAUAAAAUCAUCCGACACUAUAUUUCAUUCUAAGAUAUAAAAUGUGAGAACAUCUAAUUUUUGCGGAAAUCGUGGAAGCUCCGGUCAAUAUUUGUACUCCCUUAUUUUGCUAUUUGGUGUUAUGCCAUCGGCCGGAACCAGCCAAAGACCGCACGCUUCGGCAACUUGUAUCUAAGUGACACCAUUGCACGCACGUUGCAGUUGUAUAUAGAUACUGCUGGCUUAAUCCAACUUCCAUUUUCAUCUUGAUCCUAGCCUGCAUGAAGUCUUGACCUACUGACUUUUUUCAGCAAUUACUUUGGCAACAAGGCUUGUUCAGGUUUUAUAUCUUAGACAUCGAUCCCAGGCUCUCUUGGCAAAGCAUAUCAGCUCUAGUCACAGACAUCUGUGCUCUAAAGCAUGUUGAGAACGUGAGGACAAAAAAAAAAGACUGCACAUAGACGCCUGGGAGAGUUAGAAUCAUCAGAACUUGCAUGAUCAGCAAAACUAAUGUCAAUGUUCAACUGGAAAUUAGCUACUUUCAGCGUUAUUGCGUUUUAGGCGUACCCAAGGCGAAUGACAAUACUCAACAUGAAGGGUCACGAUACAUCAGACAAAACCUGGCAAAAUAAGUGUCUGAUAUGAGAAAUGCAAUUGAUUGGUUACGGCCUUAAACUUCAAGGCAUGUUUCAAAGGCAAUCUGAGGAAUAUUUUAUUUCCAAUUUUCUUUGUUACUUCUUACAAAGAUUUCCGUAGUUUUUUGUAUUCUAAGAUUUUCUUUAAUAUUAGAUUUCAUCUUAUCCCCAACUUAUAUUCCAAGAUCGAUUAAUAAUUAAUGCUUGAGGAUAAAAACAAAAGUACAUAUAUCUAUACACGUAGCUCAAUAGUAUACAAAAGAAAAUUAAUUGGAUUUAUAUAUUAUUUGCGUGGAUAAUGGAGUUUUAAUUUCUGUAAUUUAAAAUUAUUGAAUUACUCCAAUUUGUACAUAUGCACCGCCUUAUUACGUAUACGAUAAUGAUAUAUCCUUGCAAUUUUCAAUAAUCACUCAAGUUAUUAUGGUUUUAUCUUUUAUUACUAAAUUAAUUUUUUUAAUUAAUUAAAUUCCUCAAAAUACAUGCACACGUACCUCUAUAAAAAGCACACAAACUAGCUAUUGCAAGAAGUCAUAUACAGUGAGAAAUUAAGAACACAAAACCCUACUGAUAACUUCCUUUCAACCAAGAAAAUAAUUGAAGCAAAGGCUUUCAGUUUCAGUGUGAUGGUGAGAAUCAAGCCUUUCAACUUUGAAAAACCUUAGUUUCAUGGCUAGCUACUUUUUAUGAAUGUACAUUAAAGGUUUUCUUGAUAUCCCCUUCUUUCUUCUCUGCAGGCAUUGCUAGUUAUUGCUUUUUUUAUUUUGAACUUUGGUUUUGGGAUUGGUAAUUGCCAAUCCCUUAAUGUCAUCAAUUUUGGGGCUGUUGGAGAUGGAAGAACAGAUGAUUUACUGGUAAAUUUUUCAUCUUUUUUCAGCUUAAUUUAAGCUGCAUGUACGUACAAUAUUGUACAUGCAUGUUUUUUUGUAUACUGCAUAUAGUAUAUUCCUAUUUAAUUAUAUUCUUUUUGCUCUCUCUCUCUCUCUCUCUCUCUCUCUCUAUAUAUAUAUAUAUAUAUAUAUCUACACGAUUAUAUCUGAUCUUACUAAUAAUUAUGUGUUGAUUUUGAAUAUGUAGGCUUUUUCAAAAGCUUGGACAGCUCUGUGUGCAGCAACUAAUAAUCCAACCUUGGAAAUCCCUUCCGCCAAAACUUUUUUGCUGAGUUCUAAAAUUGAUUUUUCCGGUCCUUGCAAGUCAAAAUCCAUUCAUAUUAAGGCAAAUAGCACAGUUACUUAGUUCAUAUUCAUGUCUUUUCUUUUUUUUUUUCAACUUUUGCAUAUACUAUAUAAACAUGAUUUGAACCUGUGAAUAAAUUAUUACUUUUAUAUCAAUUCAGGUUCUGUGAAAGAAAAAAAAAGGAAAAAAUUAAUUCGGUUGUUAUCCUUGUCCGCUAGAAUAUAUUAAAACCACGUUAUAUUAUAGAAACUUCAACCAAUAUUGGCUCCUCUUGUUUUCUAUAAUUUAUUUAUUUAUUUUAUAUAAAUUUGUAACCAAAAGAAUAAUAUGCUUGGCAAGAGGAAAGGGUUAACUAAGAUUUGCAUUCUAUAUUUUUACAUAUAUAUAUCGUAUAUGUUAAUUAGGUUUAUGAUCUUUUGCUUAUUUAUAAAUUUAUUUAUCAAUUGCUCGAAAAAACAAAAAAAAAAAAAGAAAAGAGCUAAGCUUAAUACACGAACAAAAUUAGUACUUGGGUAAUUGGGUAUAGUGUUGAAUUAUUGAAACAUAUCUAUGAUUAAUGGUGAGUAAAUUUUCAACCUUUUUUACCAAAUUUUCAUACAAAAAAAAUGUCCUACUGUAUACAUAUUUUCAGGUCCUUGGAAACAUUAUUGCACCAAAAAGCAAUACGUGGACAAAAUGUGAUAAUGGUUGCUGGCUAUGCUUCUCAAACGUAGCUGGUCUUACUGUUGAUGGAACAGGCCAAAUAGAUGGCAACGGUGCUGCUUGGUGGAAUAAAGUAUAAUGCAUGCUCAAUUUUGUUUUUAUUUUACAUUUUAUUGUCCAUUAAUUAAUUAAUUAUAAACUGACUAAAUAAUUCUUCUAAUUCAAUUUAUUUUUCAGACACCAAAUGAGUGUGCACCAGCAGUAAGUUUGUCUUGCAUAUCAUAAAGUUGAGAUUAAUUAAUUUCAUAAAUUAUCUUAGCCUAUUAAUUUUUUUUAAGAAAUUCAUUAUUGAUGCAGGUUAUUUCUUUCGAGAAUUGCAAUAAUCUUAAUUUUCAUGGAAUCACUUCUUUAAAUAGUCCUGGAAAUCACGUAAGCGUGAAUAGGUGCGAGGAAGUGGAUAUAUCACAUAUUCAACUAAUUGCACCCAAAGAUAGUCCCAACACUGAUGGGAUUGACAUCUCCUCAUCCACUGCUCUUCGAAUUUCAGACUGUUUCUUUGGAACCGGUACAUAUAUAUAUAUAUAUAUAGAGAGAGAGAGAGAGAGAGAGAGACUUACGUAUUUUUAUAUAAUGUUGUUUUCACAUUGUAAGUAUGUCUUUUCUUAAAAAUUAUUAUUUUAUUUAUAAUAUAGGAGAUGAUUGCAUAGCUAUCAAUGGCGGUUCCUCUCAUAUAAACAUCACCCGCCUUACAUGUGGACCAGGCCAUGGAAUUAGGUAAUUUUUUAUUAAUUAAUUUAGCAUAUAUAUAUAUAUAUGAAUUUUUUCUAAAAUAAUUCAUCAACUUCUGCGUAUGAUUGUAGCGUGGGAAGUCUUGGAAAAAAUGGGAAAAACGAAACAGUGGAAUGGGUGCAAGUGGAGAAUUCUAUCUUCAAUGGAACUCAAAAUGGAGCUAGAAUCAAGACAUGGGUGGUAGUUAUUUUUAUUAUCAUUCUUAAAAGAUUGAUCAAGAAAACUUCUUAAUUUCUUCUCAAUAACAUUAAUUUUUUUUUUUUUUUGUUCUAUAUAUAGGGUGGUGCUGGAUUUGCAAGGGAUAUUUCCUUUGUUGGCGUUCAACUCAUAAACGCUGAAAACCCGAUCAUUAUUGACCAACACUAUUGUCCUCACCAAACAUGUCAACCUGAAGCGGUAAACAUAUACAAUUCGUGUUGGAUUUUUUUUUUUUAUGAAUAAAAUUUUACUAAUUAAUUAAUUAUAAUGUAUACAUGCAGAAAACAGCAGUAAAGAUAAGCAAUGUGAGAUUUAGUGGAUUCAAAGGGACAUCCGCUACUGAGGUUGCUAUCAAACUGGAUUGCAGUAGUAUAGUUCCUUGCACUGGUAUCACUCUAAGCAACAAUAUGAUAACUUCAUCAACUCCUGGAAAGAAGGUAAAAGCUGAAUGCCAUAAUGCUCAUGUCUCUUCCAACUUAACAACUCCCUCAGUCACUUGCUUAACACCCAAUCACAUAUCAGUUAUUACUCCAAAGCUUAAGGAAAGUACGUACGAGCAGUGAUCCAGAAUGUAUAUUUAUCAGCCUAAUUUAGAUAGAUAAAAAUU